UUACAGAUAAAUUACGUUACAUCUCAUUAGAAAGUGAGAUAAAGAGAUAUCCUAUUUAUUUUCAUAUAUAAUAUUAUAUGUUAAUGUUAAUAUGUUAUAUUGAGCAUGUUAAAAUGAGUCAGUUAAAAUGUAUAUUAAGUGACAAACCGUCCCUAGAGCGUGGUAAAGGACUUGGUGGUUGUUACUGGAGAUCCAAGUUCGAAUCCUAGUUGAUUCACAUUUCCAGCUAAGUUUAUUUUUAAAUGAAAUAAACGAAACGGGUAGCGUACUAUAUAUCUAUCUCUCAAAACAUACAUAUAUGUUAAAUGGUGUCACGGGCAAACAAAAGCUUGCUUCAAAAAAUUUUAUAUGUUUUUUUUUUGAGAAAAAGGUAGCACGCUACCCGCUUCAUUCAAUUAGACGAUAAACUAAGCUACAUGAGUGAGACAGCAGGGCCUCGAGAAGGGUGAAUAAGCGAAAAGCGAAAAAAAAAAAACCUAUAUAUAUAUAUAUAUAUAUAUAUAUAUAUAUAUAUAUAUAUAUAUAUAUNUUAAAUAAAUAAAUAAAUUAAUUAAAAUUUAUUACAAUGGUUUUUAAAGUUGUAGAAAAAUCUUUUUUCCUUCUCUCUCAUAUUCAAUCUCUCUCUCUCGUAUUAAUUUUUUUAUCUUUCUUUUUAUAUCAGCUUUAAUCUCCCUCACUCUCUCAACUUUAAAUCUUUCUCUCUCUCUCUCUUUCGAAUCAAAUCUCUCUCUCUUUUUUUUCAACUUAAAAUCUCUCUUUUUAUUCAAAUCUCUCUCUAUAUUCCAAUCUCAUAUUUCUUUUUAUUAUAGUUAAUCGGCCGCCCAUCCUUCUUUCUUUCUCUAAUUUGUAUAAUACUAAUGGAGUUAGGUAAUUAUACUCCUAUGGGUGGGAGGGAGUUCCCUUACUCUAAUCAUGAAACUCCACUUAGAAUAAGGGUUCACUUAGGUUAUAAUGGUUGAUCUAAUGAAUCACGCAAAUCGGUUUGUGGCAGUAUAAAAAAAUAAGGAUAACCUAAUCAUCCUUAGAAAUUUUCUAUCGCGCUUGGUUUGCGUGGGUAUCUCAUUACGAUUGUUUUGUUUUAUUUUUUGCUCCAGGUUUACAGCCGUAGUGUUGGCACAACCGCACGUUCUAGGUAAUGAGGCACGAAACGUGAUUAAGCAUGCUGGAUUAGGUCAUUUACCCGGAUUAAUAUCUGCGCCUAAUUUAACAUCCGGAUUUAGGACCGGACAGGAGCGAAGAGUACGUUUCUUUCUAUUGUAUAUUUAAAAAAAAUCCAACACCUUCUUAGAGGAAGGCCAUCUAUCUAUAUUACUUUGAUAUAUUACUUUGACCUAUUGAGAAGUUUUCUCAAUAUAUAUAUAUAUAUCAACUCGAUCUUAUGAGAGCUAUCAUUUGCUCGGCAAAAUGAUAGCUCAACAAAAGCUACUGUCUCGAAGGUUUAAUUGCUAGCCGAGGCAAUUUAUACUAGAUUUGGUAAAUUUGAUGGAUCUUUAGUUUAAAGUGCGUGAAAGCUAUAAUAAAAAAUAGGUAGAUCAUUUGUUUUUUUACUUACCGACUUUUACUUAUAAGAAAUUUUUUACUACUAUCCUCAGAACAUUAGUUCUAGUUCUCAUAUUUAGAACAAAAUUUAUCAAAUUUCUUAAAAGAUUAUUUUUAAGUUAACUAAACCUAUAAAAAUGUGGCAAUUUGCUCUUUUACAGGGAAUAGGUGGUAAUUUUAAUGUUUAAAACUUUGGGAAACUAAUAAUCCGUUUACUACAGCUUUUCUAAACUUUAAACUAAAGAUUUGUGAAGUUCACCAUAUCUAGUACAAGUUGCCUCGGCUAGCAGUUAAACCUUCGAGAUAGUAGCUUUUGUUGAGCUAUCAUUUUGCGGGGCAAACGAUAGCUCUCAUAAGAUCGAGUUGAGAGAGAGAGAGAUAUAUAUAUAUAUAUAUAUAUAUAUAUAUAUACUUUUUUAUAUUUUUUAUAUAUAUAUAACUUUUUCAGUAGAUUAUAAAAAAAUUUUUUUUAUGUCAGGUUUAAUAUAGAUGCACGGUAACCGUCAUGAUUAAUUCUUCUCUGUUGCGGUCGAGUAGGGUAAAGCCUCGGUGGUCGUACUUCCUAAUCUUAUAAUACGUUUUAUAUACUUCUCUUAGGAGUAAAACAAACCAACCAGUUGCGUGUCAAUACGUAUGUAUGUAGACAUAUACAUCUAGAUGCAGGCAUCAUUAAACUCUAGGCGAGUUUUAAUUACCGCGUUUGAAGCUUGCUAGUUCUUGAACGACUCACGCCGCCGCUGCGACAUCGUCUUAAUCGACGGGGGCUGCUGAAACACCUUCAGCAGAAUCUACAGUUCCUCCUGCCUCAUCUGCAGUGACUCCACGUCGCCGGACAACGCUCUUGAACCCCUCUAGUUAUGGCUGAUCCCGCGCAUUGUCUCCUUAACGCCGCCAACUCCAGACGUCCAGACCGACGAGCUGCAGACCUGUCUCGGCCUUCGUAAGAGCUGCAGUAGCUCGUGGGCUUGCUGACCCCGCGGUGGAUGAGGCUGGCCCUCAGCCUGGCGUUGCCCGCGUCUUCCUUCUUCUUCUCCUCGCCGUCGCCGCCGAUGCUGCUGUCGCUGCUGCUACUACGCCGACGUAGUCUCCGCCGCGGCCUCUCCGUCGACUGCGCGAAGCGGGAGGCGUAGCGGUAGGACCUCUUCCGGCGGUCGCCGCAGCCGUGCGACCGCAAGCAGACCCGGUGGCAGCACGACGAGCCGCCGAAACGCCAUGACGACGUCGGGUUCCUGAAGAUGAAGCACUGGUGGUAGCACGAGUAGCUCCCGUGGGCGCACAAGUGGGCGUUGGUGCUCGAGCUGAGGCCCAAGAAGAAGGCCCGGUGGUUCCGGCUCGGGACGAGACAGAGGCCCUUACAGCCCACCUAGGAGUGCAGCGACGUCGAGAACAGUCGGUGGCGCACGCGGCGCGAGAGGCGCUACGCGGAGCACCUCGUCGUGAUGCCGCUGCACCUAGUUCUGCGGUGGUUUUCCUUGGCCCGUGGCCGCGAGCUGUAGAAGAUACCCGACCGCGACCGCGUCCGAGACGACAAGGAGUAUCUCUUCCGGAUGACCGUAACCUUUUAAAGUAUGCCGGUCGACGAGCUCGUCUGAGCGGCGCGGACGCCGAAGCCACGGAGCCCCUAGUAGAGGGAGGCGGCGAAGAAGGUGUUGCGGAUAACCUUUACGUAAAGACCCUCGCACAAGCUGCGGGAGCUGUACCUGGACUGGAGGAAGCGCGACCGCGAGCAGUUAAGCCUCAGGGCGCCACUCGCCGAGUAGCCGCGGUAAUUGUAUAUUUUUUGUAAUAUUAAAUAACAUGGCUAAUUAAUAUUACCGUGCGAACCAAACACAGAAAUUUCACAUUCUUAGUAAUAGGAUGAAUAGAAAUAAGAUUCUCGGAUAUCUUUUUUUCCUAGUAAUCUUUCACAAUGCGAACCAAACGCACCCUAUAGUUUAUCCUUUAUUAAUAAUAUCUUCUGAUUCAUAACCAGAGGUCUCACUACAACCACCAAUAUUGGUAAUCGCCAACAUAUCGUGCUACUCAAAAACCUGCUCCCUUAGUAUAGUUCAAUUGACGCACCGGACAUACUAAAGUGGCGGUGGACCGCCAACCAAAUCUUUACCGUUAAAUCACUUUAUGAAUUCAUCACCGAUACAGGCCAGAUAGACACUAUGUACGAGCACCUUUGGAGGUUAAAAAUCUCGCUCAAGCACAAAAUCUGCACUUGGAUUCUACUUCGCAAGAGAUUACAUACAGCGGAUAGAUUGAUUCGCCGAGGGUGCUCAGUGAACCAGUAUUGCAUUUUUUGUGUACUAGUACUUGAAACCUGCGAUCAUCUAUUCCGAGACUGUGUCUUCGUCAGAUACCUUCGAAUUGUUGCGGGAGGACCAGAUACAACCGACUCGGACUUAGGGGAUGUUCGGCGGAUAUGGACAGAGACCUCUAGCAACCCCAACGCUGUGACGAGAUCGAAAAGUCUAACUCUUUUGGUGGCAAUCUGGUGGGUCGUAUGGACGGAGCGAAACAACACUAUUUUCCCCGAAGUGCUUCCCGAUGCCUCCCGGGCUCACGAACGUGUCGGUCUCUGAUCAAAGCCUGGACCGAAGUUCUGUGAACCUAGACUGUUACUUUCAUUCAUUCACCUCCGUUUUUCCCUUGUUAACUUUUGUCUUAUCGAUAGGCACUGUAUUUUUUUUUGGAUUUAUUUGGAUUUUCCUCUUUUUGCUGGCUUGUUUGGAGGUCCUAGCUGCUUCCACCAUGUACGUUUAGUUCAUUUUGCUUAAUGAAUGAAGCAGAUAGCUUGUUACCUAUUUCUCAAAAAAAUAGUAUCUUCUGAUUAAUUGAGAAAGUUAUUUUACAUAAAACAUAAAAAUAAUAUUUUGAGAAAGCUAUAUUUUACAUGAACUGUAAACAAUAAAAUUUUUUUCUUUUGGAAAAUGCCGUGCUAUUUAGGGAAGUGGUUUUAAUAUUCAUAUACAAAUUCAUGUCAAAAAAUUAUUCACAUACAAAUUAAUUAAAUUUUGUCAUUAUUUACUGAUUUUGAUUUGGACUUAGAUUCAACAAAUGAAAUUUGUUCUAUCAAAAUUGGAUUUUUGAAUGCUACCUAUCUUUUAGUUAACAUCAUAUAUUUUAGGGAAAACUUCAAAAAACCCCCCUAUGGUUUCAUAGUUUCUCACUUUGCCUCCCAGUGGUUUAAAAUGUAUCAAAUUGCCUCCAUGUGGUUCGUUUUUAUUUUUUCGGCAGCUUUUUGGUUAAUAUUUUAUUAAAUUAUAUAUAAAAAACUUCAGAUACUCAUCUAGAUUUAUCAAAUAUUCACUUUAGUACCCUUUAAUUUUAAUUUUAUCACUGAUUUUAAAAAAAAAUAAUGAAAUUGAUAAGAAAAAGAGAAAAAAGAAACCACGUGGGGCAAAUUGAUACAUUUUAAACCACAGGGGGCAAAGUGAGAAAUUACGAAACCACAGGGGGUUUUUUGAAGUUUUUCCUAUAUUUUAAACUGAAAUUGCAAUUACUAUUCCUUAAUUUUUAUUAAAAUUAUCUGAUGCAGAUCUUGCUAAAAAUUUUGUUACUGACUUUCUCCUAGCUAUGUUAAAAAUCUAUAAAAUUUGGUCUCUAAGAAAUUUAAUGAUAUUAAUCAUAAACUCGGAGACACUAAAUAUCGAAAAACGACAUGAGAGAAUUAAAAGGUUGAUUCUUCUAAAUUUAUUCUAGCUCGAUUCUCUCUUUAUAUAACAUCGGAUCAAAAUGUAAUCCAUUAAUUACAAUCUACACCAUUUAAAUGAUUUAAACAUACAAAAGUAAAAAAAUUUUAAAAAAUAUUACUAAUUUAUAUAAAAUGUUAUUUAUAUAUUCCCCGCAGAUAAUAAUUUCUCGAUUGUACAAAGCGUGUGCAGCAGUAGCAACUUCGAAGCCUCCAAAAGCCGCAUUUAAAACAGUUUUUGGAUUAUCGACUGUUCCUAGUGCAAGUGGCAAAGGACUUGAUUGUUGGUAUUCGAGAUCCCAAAUUUACAUUUCCAGCUAAGUUUAUUUCUAAAAAAUUAAACGAAGCGGAGAGUACACUACCUUUCUCUAAAAAAAAAAAAAAGCAGUUUUUAUGCACGCUACCUUUCUCUAAUUUAGUUUUUACGCACUUUCUAAACUUAGAAUUUGUAUUGCAUUGAGUUAAAUAAAUAGAGUUAGAGUUAAAUAAAUAGAGAAAUAUCACAAAUUGUGUAUACUUUAAGUAAUUUGAUAUUCGAAAUCUUUUUGCAAUCUGAAGGGGCCUGGGUAGUGGCCCAGUAAAAGUAAUAUGAGCCUAAGCCCAGUAAGAAGGGGCCUAGGUAGUGGCCCAGUAAGAUUUACAAUAUGAGCCUAAGCCCAGUAAGAAGGGGCCUGGGUAGUGGCCCAGUAAAAAAAAUCUUGUCGUUAGGCCAUCAAGAGGCCCAAGAUGUGUAGGCCGUUCAUCAAGCUAGGCCCAUAAUGGGGAAAGACCAUCUCAACCGUCAAAAGUCCUAUAUAAGAAUCCCAAAACCCGCACUUUCUACGCACUAAAACCCCAACCCUAAUUUCGCCGAACUUUGCCUCCUCUAUUUUAUCUCCUCUCCUAGCCUCCUAGGGUUCUCCAAUCGCCGGUUCGUCUCGCUUUUUUCUCUUCUUUUUUUUUUUUUUUUUUUUUUUUUUUUUUUUUUUUUUUUUUCCCCUUUCUCUUCUCCUUUUUUGCUGUGUUUGCAUCGCGGAUGGUAUUAUUCGUAGUAUUACCUGAAACUUGAUCGCGGUGAAAAGAGCUGUAUAAGGCGAUUAUUCGCUUUUUAAUCGCUUUGAAUUAUUUGUAUAUACCAAUAGCCUUGUUGAUUUAUCAUUAGAAAAGAUUCGAUUUUGUGUAGUAAUUUGCAACUGAAGCGAAAAAAGCCCCCUUUUUUAGCUUUUUUAUAGAAGCAGAAGCAGAUGACGAGAAGCAAGACAGGGACAUCAGCAUUCCUCUCAUUUGGAGGAUGAUGACUAAGUCUACAUGGGAAUCUCUCUGAUGCUCAUCUCUUUUUUUUUGUUUGAUCAUUUAUUUUUGUUUUCUAAACUUUUAAUUUGUUCGAGCAUUGCUUGUUUUCUCUUUAUGUUGGUAUCACCUUGCCAAUGAUGCAUAAUAUGCACGUAUUAUCGGAUUUAUAAUGACGAUUUCGUAUGUUGUCACUACCACUGAGGCAAAUCAUUUAAUCAUCUGUUCUUAGUAGUUGAUCAUUUAUGCUUCUUAUAAAAAGAAAUUUUGAGUAAGUAGACAUUUGUUAUUUCAAUCUUUUUUGGGGUUCAGUUCUAAUUUUGAUUGAUCAUGUUUGGUUAUAAUAAUAAUAAUAAUAAUAAAGUUGCGUUUGGUUGUUGUUGAUCCAAUAAGUGCGACUGCCGAGGAUGGUGUUAAAUAUACUUUGAGUAUUCACUAUGAAAAGUAACAAAAUCUGAGGCAUUUGCUAAGUUCUUGUAAUUUUUUUGUAUUUUCUUUUUUAUUGACUUGCUUAAUAUUUAAUUGGUUAUAUUAUUGCUUUAUUACAUACAAUUUACCACCAGUUUUCCAAAUUAAUUAAGAACUAAUCUGCCGAUGAUGCAUAAUAUGCACGUAUUAUCUGAUCUAGCUGAUGAUACAAAAUUAUUAUGAUCACUGAGGCAUAAUAUACCAAAGAACAUGUUAAUGAUUUGUUCACUUAUUGCUCUUACUUGCUCAUCCUUCUACUUUUCUUUUUAAUUCUAGUGCUAUGGAUGCCAAAACAUGUAAUUUUCUACUGCAGAUGUGUCAGCAUGUUAUGAACUGUAUAUUUGUGCUCUGCAUCAUUUUGUUUAUUAUCAAAAAUGGACUCAAUUGUGCUGGCCUAAUGAUUUAUUUUGUAUAAGAACGGAGAUCUGAAAACUUUGUUGAAGCCUAACAAGUUUGGGCUCCAAAGAAAACUAUGUAGAUACUCAACAAAAUGAAGGCUGGCACAUUAAUAUCUAACAUUGUUAUAUAUUUGCUUAUUAGUUACUUGUGAGUUAGACUUUUCUAGUGGCUUUACGUAAUAAUUUGUACAUCUUUUGUGGUUGUGUAAGUUGUUUUGCUGUUCAGACAUCCUGGAAUUUGCUAAGAUACCAAUGGAUCUGGAUUGAUGGAACUCCCACCCUAAUCAGCCCAAAAGCAGGGGUGAAAAAAAAAAAGAAAAAAUAUAACUUGCUUCAAAUCUGCCUUGAUCUGCUCAUUCUAAUGGAGUCCGGAGGUGGGAGACCCCUUCCUCCUUCGAGCUUCUCCAACCCGUUAAAAAUUCGUCAAAAAUCUACUUUUGCUCACCUGCCUCGAAUGGAGCAGAUAAUGGGCUGGAAAAUAGGAUAAAAAUCAGUUUGCUUUGAAUCCGCCCCGAUAUCCCAAGGAAACGGGGCGGAAGGUAGGGGACCCUUCAUGUCACCGGAUCUGCUCCCUUUGCGUUUCUAUAAUUCUCUGCAGAAUUUUUAAGUUUUGUCACAUUACAAGCUCCGUGCUUGGGUCUUAAGUCUGAUUGAUACAAUUUAUCGCAAAAUGUUCUUAUCUGCAGUGGGCACUCUUGAGUAAUUUGAUAUUCAGCUUUGUGUCGACACUUAGCCUUUUUUAGAGUUGUAUAUGAGCCAGAUUGAUGUUGUUCUUCAUAUGACAGCAAUUGCGAUUCUGCCUUUCUUUCCUGUGGCUGGGGGAAGUUACAAUCUAGUGGGUUAGAAUUUUAUUACUGUAUCUGCUGGUUAUAAUCAACUGGGUUAGAAUUUUAUUACUGUAUCAGCUGACGUUUACUAUCCACCUUCAUUCUGAUUAUUAAAUUCUCUGAUAUUUGUAAAUUGCCGGUUGACACUUGUUGUUACCUAUUAUUGUGUUUAUCCAGCAAAUUGUUUGUUUAGGCCGUCGAAAAUAUGUCCGGAUGUGCUGUUAAUGUUACUCUAUCUGAAGAAUGCGAAAAAGAUGUGCUGUUAAUGUUACUCAAUCUGAAGAAAGCGAGCAAAUAAUAGGCAUGUUUCCUUCGACAUACAUUGAUGCGAUCUCUCUCCACCUGCGAGUUCACCUACUCUUGAAUGUUAUAUGAAUAACAUAUAUUGAUAACUUUUUACCUGUUUAAUCUAUAGCAGUAUAUGUCACUAAAUAACAAACUAUACGGCUAAUUAAUAUGAUGUUCAUUGCAUAUAAUGGAGUGUUGAUUAGGCUUAUGAUGUUCAUUGCAUAUAAUGGAGUGUUGAUAGUAAUACCGUGAAAGGUUAUUUGAUAGUUGAAAUAUACAGUGAUGGUGGCGAUAAUAGGAUCUAAACAUAACAAGAGAAACCGAUGAUGGUGGUGACUGCAAAAACGUGCUUUAGAAACAUAAAUUGACUGAGAUUUUUGCCCAGAGACUUGGGAUGCCAUAGGUGUAAACGAACCUUUUUUUUCUUUAUGUUCUCUUCUCAACCAAGAAUGAUUAGAGUGGAUUCAUAGUGCAUUACUACUCUAAACCAAACAACUCUUAGGCUUAGGCUUCAUUUGGUUCGGAGUUAAGUAAGAACUAGUUAUACCAAGAAUGGGGUUAAGUUCAGGGUUAAAGUGGGGUUAGAGUAAUUUUGUAUUUGGUUGAGAAUUGAGUUUAGUCUAAGUAUAAAUAAAAUAGUGUUUGGUUGGAGUGGAUAGGAUAAGAAGGAUAAUAGAUUAUUAUAAAUAAAAAAUAAUGAUUUUGCCAUAAUUUUUAUAUUUAAAUUUAAAUUUAAAAUUUAAAUAAUUAAAAUUAAUAAUUUUAAAAUAAUUUUUAUAUUUAAAUUUAAAUUUAAAAUUUAAAUAAUUAAAAUUAAUAAUUUUAAAUUUUAAAUUUUAAAUUUUAAAUUAAAAUCUAUAUUNUAUAUAUAUUUAAAAUUUUAAAAUUUAAAAUUUAAAUUUAAAUUUAUAUUAAAAAAAUUAAAUAGAAGUGGAAUUAACUUAAUCCUAUCCAAAUGAGCUAGGAUGAAAUUAGCUAAUUCCAUCCCAUAAAUUUUUUUUUUGUUUCGGGUUAAAGGACGGGGGAUAAUCUCCUUAUCCCCUUAAACCCCCCCAACCAAACGGGGCUUAAAGCUCCCAGCCAAUCCUGGACAAGCCAGAUGUAGUUUAACACAAUCGUGCUGGUUACCCUGUUCAGUCAAUAACUAGUACGGUACUUGUUCAAAAAGCUGCAGAGCAAACACUGAACACUGCACUCACUAAGUCCAAAAAUUCGAAAGAAAAAGAACUUUUCAGUUACCUUGUUAGUACAAGGACAACGCAAGGGUCAUAAGGCACCUCCCUUAAAGAACCCUAGAACCUAGACCAUGCAAACUUGUCCUUAAAGCCUAUUUCGUAGGUUUCUGCAACCAUGCAAUGUCAAAUCCAUCUUAAAAGCCUUUAUCUCAAGAAAAAGGCAAAGCAACUUUCUAUAUAACCACUUCCUACCUUGUAACCAAGCUCAUCCUAUUGGUCACUCUUUUGUGAAAGUUCUCACAACCCCAGUUAGGAUCUUCUCCUCAUGCACCCAAUAGUUUUGCUCCUCCCUUUGCUCUAAAGAGCAAUUGUGCCUUGUGUUGGAGUAAAAGGAGGGUAGAUACCUUUCUUCCUAUUGCAUCCAGUGAAAACAGUUGUUUCCUUUCUUAAUUUUAGGGAGAAUGUAGUGCUUGUAGGAAAGUGUGGAUGCAGGUGAUUGGUUAAGAUGAAUCAUUGAGGAAAGGGGUUUGAUGUGAUAGUCAUCUGUGAUCUUGCAUGUGGGAAUGAGGUUAGUAUAGCGCGUAGCCAAGGAUGACUUGCCGAUACUUAUUAGUAGCUCGAUAAGACUAUGAUCUUAGUCCAUCGACUAAUGGUGUUUUUUUGUAACUGCUUUUAUCCUUAAGAGAAAAUCGGCAAGUUGCAUUUGGCUACGCACCUGCCUCCUUUUCUCAUGCUAGAGCAAAGAUGAUAACUUCUAAGUCAUACACGCGCGUCCAAUGGCUAUUUUUGAAAUGCAACUACCAUCAGAAGGGCAAUAUAAAGAAAGGUAUCUUACUUCUCUAAAGAUCAUCAUCUUGUUUCAUCACAUUAAUUACAAAGGGAUUAAUUUCACCAAGCAAUGACUAAUACACAUUCUUUUCUUUUCGUAAACUCAAUUCGCUAAUGAAGAUUUGCUAAGGUUUUCUUAUUGUAUAAUUUGCCGCCCCUUAUUCUCGUUUUGUAAUGUAUAAUAUUGUUUGUUUUUUUUUUUUCUUCUGCACAGCAUCAAGAGUUGUCAUUUACAAACAUCAGCUACAACUAACAACUAACAAGCAGGAUUAACUAGUGUGUUCUAAUUAAACAGAGAACAAAAAGUUGGUUAUUAAGUUAAAAACUUCAAGAGACUGCGAUCGACGACUUGGCCCAUUAGGGAUGAUUAAUUUGCUUCUGCACUGAUGCAAUUACCGUAUAAUCUAUGCUCUGAUUUGCCAUCAAGCAUUGAAAGAGCGGGUUAGCAAUUUAGCAUUGUAUGGUGUUUUAGCAAUGAGCGCAUUAUUAUAUAUAUAGGGCUUUAUUAUAUCUUUUUCGAGAAUAGGGAUAGGAAUAGACCCUUAUCCCCCACUUUAUACCCAAACGCUAAUUUUUUACCCGAUAAUAGUAGUUCUCGGUUAUCCCUACCAACACCUCCAUUUUCUAUAUAAAACUACUUAAAAUUGUUCUUAUCCUCGGGAACAACCCAAUUUUUAUCCAAACACUAUUUUUCUUAUCCCCAUACUUGUACUUAUCCCUGUAAUAACUAGUUCUUGCUUAUACCCGAACCAAACAGUACCUUAAUGUUUGUAAAGAGUUUCUCUGUUCUAUGUCAUUGUAAUCAGUGGGAGAUUUUUUUUUUUUUCCCUUUACCAUCACAUCUUUUAAAUUUAACUUUAUAAGUGGUAAAGAAUUUGUUGAUUGAUAUUCGAGGUCUCAAAUUCGAAUACUAAUUGAUUUAUAUUUCUAGCUAAAUUUAUUUUCUAAAUGAAAUAAACGAAACGGAAUAGAGCAUGCUACAUAUCUCCCAAGAAAAAAAAAAAAAAAAACUCUGAAACGUAGUGCCAACGAAGCGGAAGCUAAACUUGAAUAAACAUAACCACUUCUUUCAAAUUCAACUAAAUAAAAUUGAAGUUUUUCGAGCUUUAGGCCACAAGCAGGAUAUAUGAUCUGAGUAGACUAAAUCCAUUUUUCUCUGCUUUUUUUUUUUCGGUCACGUUUCCUAUUUCUUUAGCCUAAAAACCACGCGUUCAUCUUAACAUACCAAUAUUCAUAGUACAAGUGUAGCAAAGAUAACAUAGAAUCUACACAACACCCCCAGAUUAAAGCAGAACCCAAGAGAAAAAGAAAAAGAAAAAUGGACCUCUAAGUAAAGUGAGUUUGCGAAGAAGGGAUCAGAGGGAGAGGAUCCCUUCCUUGACGAAGAGGCCGAGCACGAGGAUGAGGAAACCGAGGGUGAUGCAUUGGGUGGCGGACACGAUGGUCUGCGAGUACGCCAACAGCGUUACGCCCGCGCCCACGCACCCUAUCAAGAACCCGCUCAAGUUCCGAUCCAUCCCUGAUCCCUGAUCCCUGAUCCCUUUCUCUCUCUCUCUCUCUCUUUCUAAUUUCCCUUCUCAAAGAUGCUGGUGUGGAAGAGAAUACAAGUAGCCCCAAAGUCAACUGGUUUUACACAGGGAAAUGAGAUAGAGAAAAACAACAACAACAAUAAUAAUAAUAAUAAUAAUAAUAAUAAGAGAACGUGUUUGACUUUUCCUCUAAUGUAUCUUGAUGUCGUAUAUAAAAAAAAAGGGAUUUUUAUAUUAUGAGUUUNCUCUCUCUCUCUUUCUAAUUUCCCUUCUCAAAGAUGCUGGUGUGGAAGAGAAUACAAGUAGCCCCAAAGUCAACUGGUUUUACACAGGGAAAUGAGAUAGAGAAAAACAACAACAACAAUAAUAAAAAUAAUAAUAAUAAUUCUAAAAAUUUGUAUAUUGUCAAAUAUGUAUUAUAAUUUUUUACAGUAUAUAAAAAAAAAGGGAUUUUUAUAUUAUGAGUUUAUGAGUGCCGGCUUUUAAAUAUACUUUAAUUUUUUAAUAUUAUUAUUAUUAUUUUUUUUUGAGAGAAAGGUAGCACGCUACUCGCUUCAUUCAUUUAGAAAGUGAAUUAAGCUACAUGAGUGAGGCAACGCAGGCCUCAGAGAAUGGCGGAAAAAAAAAAGGGUUUACAGUUCAAUCACUUCUCUGGGCUAAGUUUGUUCCAUAGGUCCGUCAGCUGCUUAACCUUGUAGAUACUGGCUAUUGGGUCAGUCUGGGUCAUCCUGAAUAUUGCUCUGUUCCUGAGGUCCCAAAUGACCCACCGACAGGCUAUAAGUCCAAUAAGCCCAGGAGAAGCCGGUUGACUUCGCUUCCUUUCCGUCCAUCUCUCCCAUACCAUGUGUACAUCAUCACCCAAAUCUCCCAGGUGGGUGAUCACCUCGGUCUUUACCAAAAGGAAUCUAGUAACCACACAUUGGGUGAAUAGAUGAUUGAUUGUUUCCUCUUCCAGUCCGCACAGCAUCAUUUUGUAUUGCCAGUCCAUCCCCUCUUUGCCAAAUUGUCGGCUGUAAGCGGUUUCUUCUUAAGGACGAGCCAACAGAACACUUUCACUUUAAGGGGUAUACGUAAACACCAGAUCUUGCCAGUACGGGCAUCCCUCAUGCCACCGUCCCUUAGUGUUGAAUAAGUUGACUCCACAGUAAAGCAUCCAUCAGUGCUCCAACGCCAAAGCACGCUGUCCUGUCCCUGACUAAUACAAGCGUUAGAGAUCCUGUCCUUAAGAGCUGUAAUGCUCGCGUUCACGCUGGGAUUACCAUAGAUGUCGUCACCCAGAAUCGUAUCCCAACACCAACCAUUACAACUCAAACAAUCACUGAUUUUCAAAUUUGUACGAGGCUGCGAUAGAUAGAAUAUCUCAGGGAACAACGAGCUAAGGGUCAUUUCCCCACACCAACGGUCUUCCCGUUACCCAACUUAUAAAUAGCUCCCCAUUUGAAGAUUUCUUUUAGGCUAAGUACUCCCUUCCACCAAAAGGAAGGCGGUCUGAAAAAACCUCCCUCCUUUAAUGGUAUUCUUCGACGAUAGAAUAAGUCAUGAAUUAAUUUAUUCCAUUGCAACUGUGGUGCGUUCUGAAAUUUCCACCACCACUUAACGAGGAAGGCUCGAUUCAUCGUACUAAUGUCGAGGAUGCCCAAGCCUCCCUCAUUCUUACUCCGACACACACUCUGCCACGAGGCCAGGCAUCUAAUACCUGGAGGAUUCUGGCCUCCGGUCCAAAAGAAAUCUCUUCGUAGAGUCUCAAUACGCUUAAUUACCCAUUUAGGAGGCAUGAAAACCGAGAGAUAGUAAAGGGGUAGAUUAGAGAGCACGACAUUUACCAGGAUGAGUCUGCCCCAUCUCGAUAGUAACUUUUCUUGCCACCCGUCGAUUUUAUUUUGGAUUUUACAGAUAAUCCCUCUCCAGUCCUCCUUACAAGGUGGUCUGGUCGACAAAGGCAAACCUAGGUAUCUAGUAGGUAGACCACCGACUUUGCAUCCGAGUAGGUGCGCAAGCACACAAGCUUUUCCUUCUGUCCGUCCAGUGUAGUAAAUUUUCGACUUCUCUCUAUUAAUUCUCAUUCCCGACGCCCAUUCGAAGAGUUGCCAUAAGAAUUUUAGGUUUCGCAAGCAUUUUUUUCCUGGCCUCACAGAAGAAAAAGGUAUCAUCUGAAAAUUGGAUAAGGGUAGUCCUGGAGGCCUCUGUGGGACCAAUACUAGUAAUGAGAUUAUUACCCAUUGCCUCAUUAGUCAGUCUGGCUCAUUAGUCAGUCUGGCAAGACAUUCCGCAACUAGUAGGAAAAGGAAAGGAGAGAGCGGGUCCCCCUAUCGUACGCCCCUCUUUGUUUUAAUCCAAUUAGUGGCGUCAUCAUUAAUCAGAACUGCGACCUUGGCAUUGCAAAUGCAUAGUUUGAUCCAGUUGCACCAGGUUUCAUCGAAACCCCACCAACGUAAGCUGCUAAAGAGGAAGGGCCAGUAGAUUCUAUCAUAAGUCUUUUCGAAAUCCACCUUUACCCCGACUCCCUCUACCGCCGACCUAGUUCCCCAGCCUAGGAGCUCACGGACGGCUACAAAAGCAUCAGUGAUGUUUCUCCCUUUGAGGAAAGCCAAUUGGGAGGGGGAGAUAAGGUCGCUCAUAACCUGUUCCAUCCGAUUGGCUAAUACCUUGGAUAUGAUCUACUGGAUCCUGUUCAAGAGACUUAUGGGUCUGAAGUCGUUCGCUCGUUUAGCUCCUUCCUUUUUCGAAAUAAGACAGAUAUAGGUGUAGUAAAUUGGGCCGGUGGUCAACGUCCCCUCGAACAAUUCUUGAAAUAUAUUCAAUAAGUCUCCCUAGAGAAUGUCCCAGAAAGUUUGGUAGAAGCUGAGAGGGAAGCCGUCAGGUCCUGGCUCCUCGUAUUUUAAUAUUAUAUUAAUACAAUGAUUUCACCACUAACAGUAAUAAUUUGCAAGGAUCAAAUAAUUUAGUAAAAACGCUUCAGUUUAAUUAUUAAUAUUGGAACUUUUGAUUCUUAAAUUUUUUAUUUUAUUUUUUUUCAUCCAUGAAAAAUUAUUCGCGCCUUACAAUUAUUAUAUUAAUAAGUAUACAUAGGAUGUGUUCAUAUCAGUGCUAAAAUUUCGGAUCUCAUGGGAACUCUGCAGUUAAGCGUUUUUGGGCGACCCCUAGAAGCUUUAUGCCUACGGGCUUAUGGAGUUUGGAGGUCAGAGAUAUCCCCACAUACCAUCUCAAAUAAAAAAGAAAAAAAAACAAGAAAUUUCUUUUCUUACCUUAUAAAUAAUAAUUUAUUGAUUUACUUUUUUGUUCUUUUGAGUGCGUAUACAUCCCGAAUAAUUUGUCAAUAAACAGUGAAAAGAGAAAAAAGAAGAAGAAGAUCCCAAUAAUAACACAUCUGCAAACAUGAAGGAAACAAAGUAUAAGAUGAAGAAGAGCUUCCAUGGAAGAGUCUUUGUAGAGUUAAGAACAAAGUCCAUGUCCCUUCCACUCUCUAUCACUUCACAUACUCCUCUUCUUUUCCAGCUUCCUCUAACUCUCUCAACCCUCCAACCUUUUGCUCAAUCUCUUCAAUCAACUCCUCUCUCCACAACUCUGCCCUUGCAGCUUCCUCAAUGUCUUCUUGCUACAUAAUGCAAAACAUACAUAACUGAUCAGUUUUUCUUUUCUUUUCUCUUUUUAUUAAGAAUAGGCACUAAUUAACAUGCUUCUUAGUACGCUCUUUGAUAGAGAAAUUUACCUUCUCGUAGACCCAGUGCACUGUUCCAUCUCCCCCAUCUUUCCUGUACUCCUCUCCAUCAUAAAAAGGAUCCUGUUUCAUAGCUUUUGUUGUAAUUGCAGAGAACAUAAAACAUGACAAGUUCUCGUGAGAUUGAUUGGGUGAGUGCUCACUUUCAUGGAUCCAAAGAAGCAGCAUCCCCAGCAUGUGAACAUAAUGUACAAAGUGUCUACAAAAGGCCCUCGCGCAUAGUAAUUAAGGCGAAAAGUGUAAAAAACAAAAAAAACCAAAGGUAACAGCUUAUGAUUUCUCGUUCUUUUAGUUUUGGAGAGUGUGUUUGUUACUCACAAACAUUCUUCAUGGCUGCGUCGCUGAGAUGCCAAACUGAUUUGUGGACGACGUAGUCUCGUUGUCCUGCGACGUGCUCGAUCAUAAUUGCCAUGAGAGGCCAAUCUGGGAAAGCAUUCAACUUCCAUGAAGAGCUCCCUCUUCCCUUUUUCCCUCCAAUCUACAAGCAACCAAAAAACAAAAAAAGACAAUGAAAUCUCGUGUUAUCGAUCGCCGUAUUCUGAUAUUUGUUAAUACAAUCUUGCUUUCAGCAAUUCUACGAAGAUGUUCAGAAGACGAAAUAAUCUUUACCUGAGACCAACUAAUGUUUCCGCGACAUUCUUGAACUUUUCUGAGCUGUGAACAUAAUGAAAAGAACCAAAAGCAUGCACUCAAACAUUUAAACAAUUAGAAAUUCAAAAGAAACAUGAAUGGUGACUUGUAGCAAGUUGUGAUUAGAACUUUGUCAAGUGAGUGGAGAUCCGAUUUUGCGGAUUGGAAGGCAGGGCAGUGAGCGUGGGGCUUGAAUACUGGCAAAGCCAUUAAGUUGGUCUUCUGUGUUUCUUCAGUCUCUUUGAGAGUUUAGGCUAUACUUUUGAGCUCCAUUUUUUGCCUCAGGUGCAUGUAGUUGGGUAAGGUUGAGGGGUGGAUAAGGAAGCUUAGGCAUUCAACCUUUUCCACACAAAUUCAGUGUCUUUGUCAAUACCACCAGACCUGUCCAAGCCCACCAUGACCCAAGAAAGGUGGGCUUUGGUUGAAGCCCCAAAGAUCUGGACCCCUUGCAGGGUUAGUUUUGGCCCAUAUUAUUAAAUAUAAAAAUAUGUAAAUACUGUUCUCUAUUAAGCUUUUAGAGUAGAAUAAUUGUUUUAUAUAUUUCACAUGAUAUCAGAGCAGGAGGUUCUGAGUUCGAGCCACGCUAAACUCCUAGCAUUAUUAAUUUUCUCCCAUUUAAUUCAAAUUUAUGUCAUAGGUCUUGUAAAAGGUCUCGAGCCCAGACGUGGGGGUUCACACAUAUGGCCAAAACAUCUUGCAGCUUUCCUGAAAAUUUUUUUACCUCUUGUUCAAUACAUAUGCUCUUUUUAAAUAGCAAAUUAUGGGAGCAUGCCUAUUCAUGUUGAUAGAGAUAUACCGAUCUUUUAGAUUCACAGUUGUAAGCGCUCUAUUUUUCAGUCUCAUUCUUAAUUACCAGCAGCACUAACAAUAGAAAAUUAUGCGCGCCCUAUGUAUAAAAUAGCAUAUAGUUUAUGCAAGAGGUUCUUUUGCUUUUAUUACAUCCUUCAGACGUAAAGCUUCGUUUAAUUUAUUUAACAGUGUUAUUUUGCUGAAUCCUGAACAAAGGAUUCACGGUCAAAGAGGGUGACUUGGGCUAAGAAGUGUGGAAACAGUUAUAAUAGCUAUGCAUUCUCGUGUUGGGACUUCAAAUCUUAUUACUGGAAGAUUAUAAGUGGUGCUAAUGCAUGGAUAACUUAUCAUGAAUCACUAGGUUGUUAACUCCCAGGUCUUUUUAAUACCAACCCCACCUUAGUAUAUCUCAAUGGUGGAUUGUGUGACAAAGGCAAAUGUUGAAGCCCAUUACCAAAGUAGAAACAUCAGAGGAGUAGGCAAUGGCAACUUAUGGCAAAAGUAGAAACACAGGAGAAGCACAUAAGCAUUAGUGAGUGGACCUCUUAAUGGAGUUGGAAUGCACCAAGCAACUUUAGUUGAAACAUCUUGCUAAUAAAAAAUACUUGGAACAAAACUCAUUUGAGCAAGUAAGGGUAGGUGUAGAAAAUAGCAAAACCACAAUGUGCUUUAGUUGGCAUAAGUAGAUGUCACACUAUCUCAUAGCUAGAGAUCUACAGUAUUAUUAUUAUAUUCAUUAUAUUCAUGUAUAAAAUGAUCCUCUCACUCUAAAUACCAUCCAAGCAAAAACACAAGCUACUUCGAAGUUCUAAUUCCUCAGUUGGAAACAAAAUGAAGGAGCAUGGGGAAACUUCUAAAGCUCCAAUGGUUGGAGGAGGGAUCAGUAGGGGUGUUUCUAUACUAGACUCAGUCCUUCGUCUUGUCGCGAUAGUCGGCACUAUAGGGAGUGCUAUAGCCAUGGGAACUACUAAUGAAACCCUCCCUUUCUUCACGCAGUUCAUUCGGUUCAAGGCGGAAUAUAAUGAUCUCCCAACCUUCACGUAAGCAAUAAUGCGUAUAACAACUAAUGUUGCAAUAUGUUCUAACAUUUGAGGUUAGUUGCAUGCAUUUUGUUGUGAAUCAUUUGUUUCUCUUUUGUUGUCAACAGCUUCUUUGUGAUCGCGAACUCAGUGGUGUGUGCUUAUCUUGUUCUCUCGAUUCCUCUAUCCAUUGUGCACAUCAUCAAGAGCAGCGCGAGAUAUACGAGACUAGUGCUAAUCUUCUUUGACGCGGUGAGAGAACUUUUAAUAUAGUGGGAUAGCUAAAACAAAAGUGGAUGAGAUUAUAAAGCUAGUAAGUCGGCAAUUAAUUGGCCCUUUUUUGUAUUUUGUUUCGAAUUGGUGAAGGUUAUGCUAGCACUAUUGACGGCGGGGGCUUCAGCAGCGGCGGCCAUAGUGUACCUUGCUCAUAAGGGCAAUGUCAGAGCCAACUGGUUAGCGAUUUGCCAACAGUUCAACUCAUUCUGCGAGCGAAUCUCUGGGUCACUGAUUGGUUCAUUUGUUGCCGUCAUCGUGCUGAUACUCCUCAUCUUCUUAUCUUCGUCAGCCCUCGCAAGGCAUUGAUUGUUAGGAAUUGAAAAUGAUCGCGCGCCCGUUUGUGUUUGUGUGUGUGAGGAUUAAUGAGUGGUUUAGUGGUGCUUGUUGUGUGACUAUCUCUCUAUAAAAUGUACGUUCCUUUUUCUAUUUUGUUGAAAUUGGAUUAUGCCUCUACGUUCAGCUGUUAUUUUUUCCUUAUGUCUUUGCUGCGGAUGCUAUUGUUUGUAUUCUAAAAUUUGAAAUGCAAUGCCAUCAUGUUAUGCAUAAAAGCAUUAUAGCCUAUAUAGAUUGAGUAUUUAUUUCUUCUAAAUAAUUAAGUGAAAUAAUUAUUAAUUGGCCUAUUAGCUCAGUUGGUUAGAGCGUCGUGCUAAUAACGCGAAGGUCGCAGGUUCGAGACCUGCAUGGGCCAUUAAUUAUUUUGAUUCCAUUUUAGUGAUACUUAUCGGAUAUAAAAUUUAAACUUGUUGUUUACUUAAAUAAAUUUAUAGUUAAAUGGUGCUUUGAGAUUUUAUAGUUAAAAAGUCAGCAAUUGAUUUAAAUCGAACAAACAAAAAGAUUAGAUAAUAAAACCUAAAUUUUAUUUAAGUAAUUUGAUCACUCAUUGAAUAAUAUAAAAUUUAAACUAAUUGUUUAAUUAAAUAAAUUUAUAGUUAAUCAAAUUGUAUAAAAUAUGCCAACUAAAUUCAUAACCAUAAAUGACAUAUUCAAAUUUAGAAUUUUAAAAAAGUAACUAACUAAUUUGAAUCUAACAAAUUAAAUGAUUGGACAGUGAAAAUCUAAAUUUUAACAUUUAUAGCAGUAAUAGUUGCGAAUAUAUUUUAUAUAUUUUUUAACUUACAUUAAUCGCACAUUACCCAAAAAAAUUAUUCUAUCAAAAGCAUUAUAUGUAGUGGAUCGGACUUAUACACUGACCGGCCCAUUAUCAGCCUCGUUGUAGCCCACGCUUCUAUCUUUUUUUAACGGCUAGGAUCUAAUCAAAGCUUAUCCUGAUACGACUAGAGAAGUAUCUAGAUCUCUCGCGGGUCUCUAUAUACACAUCGGAACAAUCUCAAACCCUCUCCGGUGAUCCAUUUCCAUCAGCAAAACCCCUCAAGCCAUUCUUGUUACGCCUUGCAAACCCUACCUCACAGUUCACCGAUCAUCUCUGAUCAUCGUCCCCACGAGCACGCGCCAUGGCGAUCAUCUCCGAUCUCGAAGAGGAGCCCGCCCCGUCGCAGUCCCCUUCCUCCGCCGGCGACGAGGAGGUGCUCUACUCGAUCCUCUCGAAGCAAGGCCCAUGGCCUUUCGUGGAGACGGUGUUCGAUCUCCUCCGCCGGAGAUCCGAUCUCUUCGAGGACGCCGACGCGGUGCCGCGGAUCAUGUCGAUGGCCUCCGCCGCGAAGGCGAAGGCGGAGGAGAAGCGGAGGAAGGAGAAGGAAGAGGAGGCUCGCAGGGCCGAGAAGGUGAAGGAGGCUGAGGCCGCGGCGGCGAAGAAGGUCGAGGAGAAGAAGGCGGAGCCGGAGCCCUCGAAGAAGCCCUCCGAGGGAGCGGCGGGGGAGGAGGAGGAUGGAAAAGGCGGGAGAAGUGAGUUCUCUAUCUCUCUCUAUUUGCAUUAGAUGUUUGUAAUACUUUAAUUGAAUCUCCUCUUCCUAUUAUCUUUGUUUUUUCGAUGCUGAUUUUAGGGUUUUGAUACUUGUAUGCAAAAUUGAGAUUAGAAACUAUAAUACUACCUCACUACUUUGGAUGUGGAAACUGUAACAUAUCGUUGCUAUGUGUGAAAAUCUAAGAACAAAGGAAACAAAAUCGAACUUUACUGUAGCACAUUCCCAUUAUUAAGGGAUCUAUAGAAAUAUCACUAUUGGCACGUGAGAAGCCGAUAUCGAAGAUCAAUAGGGAAUGGAAGAAGAAGAGGAAAAGAUGUGGUUAGUUAUUUGGUAGCCAUUGAGCGAAGCCAUGUCUCGAACUAUUAAAUUGGAUAUUGGUUUCGAUUUUGACCCUACGAUAGCUGGGACUGAAUAUGCUUAAAUAGCACCACCUGAUAAGUAAUCUAGCUCAAAUUUAUUGGCGUGAAUUUCCAUAGAAGAGUAGAAGGCCUUGUAUAAAGUAUAUAAAAAUUGCACUGUUGUUUUUGCAGUGCUAGUUACUUAUAACUAUUUACAUAUUUAAGAUAGUUUUUUUUUUUUUUGUCCCCCUCCCCUAUAUAAGACUUUAAGGUUUUGUUUAUUUAUUGGCACUGUGAUAUCAAGGUUCAUCUAAUUGACAUGGUGUCCUGCUUGUUAUGUCCAAAAUAUGCAGUACCUCUUAUAAUGAAUAAAUAAAUAAAUAAUCACAUAAUUGGUUCAAUGUAUACACCUUCCAUCCAUGUGGAAAGAGACAAUUGAAAAGCAAUUGAAUUUGCUAGUUCAUUUCAUUGGGACAAAAGAAAGGCAUACUGAAUAUAGGAUCUUCAAUGGUUCGAUAAAUCUCCGUUUCCGUAAUACUGAUUUACAGUACUUGAUGGAUGCUUAAUUGAACAUAUGAGUUGCAUAUUGUAUGCUUUCCAUCUUGUUUUCAGUGUGCUUACGCUGUUCCUGAAGUUCUUGCAGCUGUUGAACCUUCUGAAGUUAUAUUUGUUUGAAUGUUCUAAAUAUAGUAUGCUCUGUGCGAUGUGGAUGUGAUCUUUUUUAUACUUACUUUUGUUUAUAUGGUGCUUCUGUUAAUCAUUUAGAGCCGAAUUCUGGAAAUGGUCUUGAUUUGGAGAAAUAUUCCUGGACUCAGACUCUACAUGAGGUUAAUGUUAGCAUCCCAGUUCCUAAGGGAACCAAAUCGAGGCUUGUCACCUGUGAAAUAAAGAAGAACCAUCUUAAGGUUGGGCUGAAGGGGCAGCCUCCCAUUCUCGAUGUGAGUAGUGCGACGCCUUUCUCUAUUCCUUUCUUACUCACUCUGGUUUAGAAUAUUGCUUCUUAUCAUCAGUUGGGAUGAAAAUGUUUUCUACAUAUGUGUGUUAAAUUUUGUUUUAAAUCACUUUCGCUUCUUGCAGGGGGAGCUAUAUCAGUCGGUGAGACCAGAUGAUUGUUUCUGGAGCAUAGGUAUUUGUAUAACAGUACACAUGAUCUCAUGCGGGGUGAUUUUUUUUUAUCCUUUAUUGAUGAUGAUAAAUGUUAUUAUUGCAGAGGAUGAGAAGUCCAUUUCUAUACUACUGACGAAGCAAAAUCAGAUGGAAUGGUGGAAAUCUGUGGUAAAAGGUGAACCUGAAAUUGAUACUCAGAAAGUAGAACCAGAGAACAGCAAACUAUCCGAUUUGGAUCCUGAAACACGACAAACUGUCGAGAAAAUGAUGGUGAGAUCUUUUGUCUCUAAUUUGUUUUUGUAUGUAUAUUUUCUUUCAUGUGCUCUUGUGAAACAUCUUUCUUCUCUUGGAUCUUACUCCCUUUUGUUGCUCUAAAUUGCCCGUGCAGUUUGACCAGCGCCAGAAAUCCAUGGGUCUCCCAACGAGUGAUGAGAUGCAAAAGCAAGAAAUCCUCAAGAAAUUCAUGGCUGAGGUGAUUGUCUCUGCUUUUGUACAAAGCACCCGUUCUAGUUUUUACCUAUUUAGCUCCCUCUCCCUGGUCAUCUCUAACUUUCUCUCUUUGCAGCAUCCUGAAAUGGAUUUUUCAAGGGCGAAAAUAGCCUAGGGUCUCCGUAUGAUGUUAACGACUCUUGCUUGGAAGAUGGAAGUUCACGGGAAGAUGAAAGCUCACAGGUUAUAAACAUAUGAGCAAUCAGCAGUUUGGCAACAUUUCCUUUUUCCUUUCUCUUUUUCUCUUUUUGUCUGUCCCUUGUGUUCUCAGUUUUCUGGGAAAGGUAGGUUUUGUUGAAUCGAUGAACUAGCAAAAUACUCAUGUUGGGUUGUACUUUGUAAACUGAAUUUUCAGGGCGUGUUAUUUCUUUUUCUCAUUUGAAUCGAUGAUCUUUCCUUGAUCAAUUAGUCUCUGUUUUGGAUUGUGAGUUUAUUUUCGCCUUUUACUCAAAAUGAUUACUCGUAACACUCUAAACUUCAAGCGCUCCAAAAGCUGUUCUUUCUUCAUAUUAUUUAUUAAAGGUGAGAAGUAGUUUGAUGUUGUAUCUUUCAUGCCUCCUCGGCUUCGUUGUUAUGGGAGUAGAGUUCACACUGUUGAAAUCUGUUCUCAAAUACGAAUCUGCGUAGAGACUGCACAAACGUAUCGUUAUUGUUAACAUUUGGGGUUGUGAUUGUGCAACUUUCUUUUGAAGGAAGGAUCGACUUUGCUGUUUGCCGUGUCCCUUCCGAACUUCACCAAUAAUCUCUGCAAGAACACUUCCCGUCCUUAAAAUGGUGGAACCGGUUCCGAUCCCUCACAAUAAUCUCGCGAUCGAAUACUCUCGAUAUAAGCUUGCUCGCCUCAUGACAGUCUCUGCACACUCUCAAAUUCUUCGUGAUGCGAAUUGUCUCACUAGACUUGGUAUGCAACAGCCCAAAUGCUAUCGCAAGCUUCUCGCUAUGGUAAUACAGCGGAUUCUCCUUCUCUUGCUCGCCGAUAUCAUGCAGCACUCCUUCAGUGUCCGGAACAUAACCCGCCAAUCUUAUCCUGUUCAACAUCUCAUCCACAGUCUCAUAUAUCUCUCUAGCUUGAGGAUGAGACAUGCCGCCGCAAAUGAACUCAUUCACCUCGCCAUUCAUCUCAAUCACCGACCGUCCAGCCUCCUUUCUCACCCUGCGGUCGUUCAUUAAUCUCCGCACCUCCGCCACAUCCUCCCACCGACCAGCUUUUGCAUAUAGAUUGGCCAACAAAACAUAUCUCCCGCUGUUCUUCGAAUCCAACUCUAUAACCGUUCUGCCGAUCCUCUCUCCCAUCUCCACAUCCCCGUGAAUCCUGCAUGCUCCCAGGAGCGCUCCCAAAACGCCGGCAUCUGGGCUCAUCGGCAUUUCGUCGAUCACCUUUUUAGCGUCUUCUAACAGCCCGGCACGUCCAAGGAGAUCGACCAUGCAUCCGUAAUGCUCCAUCUUGGGCUCGAUGUUAGAGGCCUGAAUCAUAUAAUUGAAGUAGUAUCGACCCUCACUAACCAAGCCGGAGUGCGCGCAGGCGCUGAGGACGUUCAACAGCGUGAUACCGUCCGGCGUGGCCCCUUCUCUCUCCAUCUGUUUAAAGAGCUCGAUAGCAUCCUCUCCUCUGCCGUGCACCGCGAAGCCUCCGAUCAUGCAAUUCCAAGAUGAAAUCCCUCUCUUUUCCAACCCUUCGAAGACCUCGUACGCCUUCUCCACGCAACCGCAUUUGCAGUACAUGUCAAUGACCGUGGUGGCCAAUUUGGAGUCCAAUUCGAUCCCGUUUCGAGUAAUAUUCUCGUGAAUCCACCGGCCCUGAUCCAGCGCGCCCAGGCCGGUGCAAGCCGCGAGCAUGCUCGCGGCCGCAAACUUGUCGAGCCUGAGACCUUCCCGGCGCAUUCGAUCGAACAGCUCGAACGCAUCGGCGAACCGCCCCACCUGCACGUAGCCUGCGAUCAUGGCAUUCCAGGAGACGGAGUUCCGUUCCGGCAUUACGUCGAACAUCUCGCGGGCUUCGUCGACGAGGCCCGAUCUCGAGAGCCCGCUGAUCAUCGUCGUCCAGGUGACGACGUCGCGGCGUGGCGCGGUGGCGAAGACGCGGCGCGCGACGUCGGGGAGGGCGCAGGAGAGGUAGAAGCAGAGGAGGCUGUUUUGGGAGAAGGGGUCGGAGAAGAAGCCGAGCUUGAGGAGGAGGGAGUGGAGUUGGAGGGCGAAGGGCAGGGAGGAGGAGGGGGAGGGGGAGGCGGAGGGGGANGGUCGCGGCCGAAGCCGGAUUUGACGACGUGGGUGUGGACCAUCAGGCCGUGGCGGGGCUCGGAGAGGGCGGAGAGGAGAGGGGGGAAGGUGAAGCGGUUGGGGAGGAGGGAGAGGGAGAGCAUGCGGGAGAGGAGCGAGGCGGCGGCGGAGGGGGGAAGGGCGCGGGCGCGGAGGAGGGUGUUGAAGAGGAAGGGGUCGGGGUCGGGGAGGAGGCGGAGGAGGCGGAGGGCGUAGGGGAGGUCGCCGGAGGGGUGGAGCGCCAGGAACUUGAGGAGGCGCCCCGCGGCGUCGUUGUUGCCGCCGAGCCCCAGCCGGACCACCUGCGAGUGGUACUGCCGGAGCUCCGACAUGGACGCGAUGGAGUCCAGGCGGCGGCGGAGCGCGUGGCUGUUGUGGUUGAGAUUGGAGAUGGCGGAGGUGGGUUGGAGGAGGGCCAUACCUGGUAUGGUAGGGCGGGAAGAGAUUAGAUUACAAACGGUUACAGCCGAUCAAACAGCACUGCUGUUAUCUAGUCUGCUACCAAUGGAUUUGAACCACCUUUGCGUGCAUUCAGAAGCUUAGAACUCGGUUAGCAUGUUUAUUAAAUAAAAAAAAAAGAAAAAAAAAAAAGAAAAGAGAGAACGUACAGCCCAUAGGCAUGGUUACAAGCUUCACAAUUAUUGAUUAAUUUAUUUUAAACAAUUUUUAACAUAGUAUCUCACAGAAUAUUACCUUUCUUAAACAAGAAAACCAACCAAAAUAAUAUUAUACACUAUACUAUACUAACUCAUCAGCAAUAUUUGUCCCAACAUUUAUCCCAACAUUUGUCCACGUGUUUAUGAGCGACUAUACAACUAAUAUAUGCGCUCCCAAAGCUCAUUUCUCUGCUCGUGACCUGGCUCGGAGAAGAAUUAGGUACAUCAGAAGACAAUACAGCAGAAGAUAAACAAAGAACAUACAAGACGACAAAACUGAGAAUCACAAUAUAACAACACCAGGGAAACACUUCAACUUCGAUGUAUAUAUCCUCCCCAACAAUAGGCUAGCAAAAAAUCUGAAAAAAGUAGCUUCAUCCAACUUUAGCCACGGAAAAUGCAUUUCUCAUCCAUCAAAUAUCUUCACAGAAUAUACAAGCCACUCGCACCAUCUAAGCGACGAUACUGCACUUUAUGAUAAUAAAAUGUUCAAGUCAUCUGAAGAUGACAUUUACUCAGAUAAAAGGAUCGCUACUGUACAAAUAUCUAUACAACAAAGGGGGAACCUGUACAUAUAUGAUCUUUGACCUAAGUUGAGAUGCAUAGAUCCACACUUCCAACAACUAAAUAGACAGAUUUCCUACACAUCCUGCCUGCAUACAGGGCAUGACCCACGCCCAGCAAGCCAUUUGUCCACGCAAGACAGAUGAAAAGUAUGAGAACACAGAGGCAACCUCCGCACAGUCUCCCCUGUCAUGAUAUCCUACCAGAAAGACUAUGUAUUAGGUUCUCAUAGAAUUAAAUUUAGCCACAAGAGAGAGAGAGAGAGAGAGAGAGAGAGAGAGAGAGNAUUAGGGCAGACUAUAAAUGCUCAAUCUAAAUAGAACACUAAAGCUCUACAUAGAGGAUAAGUUGAGCAAGAAAAAAGAAUCAAACUUGUAAUCUGUUUGUAACUAUUAAUGUUAAUGUGUUUCAAGUUUGCUGUAAUUGAUAAAAACGAGAUAACUUUAACAUCUUGUAUUAGUAGGGAGUACCUGCAAACAAAUGGUGCAAGAUAUGUUCUCACCACAGGAAUCCCUUUUCUCAUCAGUGAUUACAUAGUGCGGUAACUUCUUCAGUGACUCGCUAGAUAGCCCUUUGGAUCCGAUCUCACCAAAAAUAUCAUAUGUAUCAUCCUGCCCAAGGUCUGAGAUGCUUACCUGUCAAAUUUAAGCAGAGGCAACUUUUUAGGCAACAAUUCAAAUGGAGAUUAUAUUCGGUAAUCUGGUGUCACCUACAUGACGUGACUACUCAGCCAUUCAUUUUGAUAUAGCCCUUUGAAGGUCUGUUGAAGAUAGGAAGGCUAUCAUUUUAUUUCCACUAUUUGAAAGGUUACAUUUUGAUUGAUGGUGAUUGGACAUUAUUCUAAAAAGAUGACAAUUUAUACAUUCGAAAGAAACCCAAAUUAGGAGAUCAUGUUGCAGACACAUUUGCUAUUAUCGUUAUACAAUUUACAACUCCCACAUCAUGUUCAUUGUUGUCUUCCUACCACAUAGAAAGGUAAAAAUAUAUGUAAAAAUGAUUUUGUAGGCUAAGUAUUGAAGAACACUAGAAGAUUUCGAUUUUUUAGUUUAUACCAACAACUUUAACAGACCCAUGAAUAGGGUACUGAGAGUUAAAGCCUCCAACUGCCUUUGAUGAAGUACAACUGUUGACAGGUAAUACAUUCUCAUUCUCUCUUUCAAUGGUGGCACUAAAAGAUGCAUCCAAACACGCAUGAGUCAGGUCACUAAAGACAAGUGAUCUGUAUACGAUUGCUUCUAACAUAUUAUUGCUAGAUGGCAACAUUACAGCUCAAGGGCCAGCAAGUCAUUAUCAUAUUCAUGUCCCAUAACUCAACACCACAAGUUGAAGCCUCAAGGGACAGCAAGUCAUAAUGAUAUUCACAUGUGUAAUAACUCAGCACCAUACCUCAAUGGACAGCUAGUCAUCAUCAUAUCCAUAUGACUGACAGGUCAAUUUUCUAUGUGCUUUGAUAUUCUAGAUAAGGCAUAUAUUUUGAACUCAUUCACCAAUAGCUAGCAAUUAUAGUGUCAGAGUACAGUAUUGAAUCUCAAGAAGAACGAGUGAGCUCAAGACACAGAAGAAUAAUCGCAGCAAUGCCAAGUAUUUAUUAUUUAAACAAACCUUUCUUUUCUUGGAUCGCCUCGUGACAAAGUUCAGUCAGAUACUAAAGGAGAAAGGCUCCACAGUUAUAUGGCCAACUCGAAAGAGACAAUAUAAUUUAAGUUGAUCAUACCAGAUUCAUUUUAAACGAACAGAUUAUAAAAAUGGAUGCUAUAAGAGACAAGCUGUAACAAGGGAUGCAGGCAAAGGAGGAAACUGAUAGAUAACCAACCUGCCAGCGGUAUGCCGUAAAUACUGCCGGUGCAAAUUGUUCUUGUACAAACCGACCAUGAAGGAGCUCUUCUAUAAAAUCUGCCUGUGGAAGUGAAAAGGUUUAUCAUAUCAUAUCUUCCAGGUGGCAUUGUCACUUUUAUAAUGAUGACGGCUUCCAAAUUUUUAGAAAGAAAACACUUCCAGCAUUGGGCAAAUGGUAUAUAUGCUCGAAUAGAAAGGGGAAAAAUUGAAAUCUCAUAAAUAAAAGUUCUGCAGAAAAACUGGGGUCGCAAGAGCAUGCAGAUUUUACCCCAAGAUUAUCCCAACGAAAGAAACAGCAAGAUAACUUUAUAGAGCUCACAAACCAUGGAGGAUGUAUGCUGGGAGCCAGAUCGUUCUGAGCACCAAUAGGCACGGGAAGCUUCUAAAACCUCCAUAGAAAGGACAGCUCCGGCGACCGCUCCUAAACCGGCACCACGAAAGACACCACUAUCAGAGGCUCUGCCAGCCAAGGCACCAGUAACAGCUCCAGUGAAAGCUCCAGCUGCCAUGCAUGGCAACCCAAAAAUGAGACCAAAAAAUGAACAGAUACUCACCUAAUUACACCCUUUCCAAUUUAAAGGGCUGUCCCACAUUUUAUCCAAAGAGGAUGCCUAACAUAAUUACCGCACAUAAACUCGUUUCUAUGAUGAUUUUUCUAGUAACACAUUGAUAAAAUCAGAGUAUAACUCAAUCAAAUCAUAUAUCUCGGGGAGAAAGUGUUUUGUUCGCAAUGAAUAGAGAAACAAACUUAAUGCCGAUAAACUUAUGAAGAACCAAACUUAAUGCUGAUAAACUCAUAAAAUUAUGUCGGUGAAGUUUACUAGGCAGUAAGGUAUCAUUCCCUAGCCCAAGAUCACCGGAUGAAGUGAGACUCAUCUUAUACUUUCGGGUGGCAAACUGGAUCUGGAUCUGAUAUUUACCCAUAACGAUCUAACAAGAUCACCACGUAACACGAUAUCUAUCUCAUACUUCCGGCUAGCAAACAUACUACUUCUGGCUGGCAAACCGACUCUGAUACCAACAGUAAAACCCCAGAACUCCCACAUCGGACUCUAAUACUAAUAACUGGCUUAAACAUUUUGGCCAGGCAAUAUGCGCCUAAUGAAUUAUUAUUUCUGGUGGGUUAGGUAGUUACAAUUCUAACACAGGUAAAAACAAAACUGGGAGAAAAAAAGAAGAGAACGCUUUGAUUACCUAGGGCGAAGAGACCCGUGAGAGCUCCGGAGAUCGCCCCGGAGAUCAACCUCGGAAUGUACACGGCGACGCCUCUCCCUCCCAACCCGUCGCCCCCAUCCACCAUCGCCGCCGCCGCCGCCGCCGCCGUGGUGGCGCGCGGCCGGGCACAGGCAGUGCAGAGGCGCUGGGCGUCGUCACGGGAGCCUCCGCAGGAGCAGUGGGCCCCCACCACCACCUCCAUGCAAAGGGGAGGAGCAGAGCACGAAGAAGCCCUAAACGACGGAGGAGGAGGUGGACGGAAGCCCAAAAACCCUAGACUUGACCUAGAAUUGGAAAUUGAUUGCCAUUUUGAGGAGGGAGGGGUCGAGUUCUCGAUGCGAUUUGGGGGGAGGGGUAGGGUUUGAAACGAGAGGGGGAGGAGAGGGGGAAGGCCCCGAAAGAGCCGAGGGUCUGGGGAGGUGGUGGGCCCUCUUUCAUUUUGUGCGCAUCGUCUCCGCGAUCUUUUGUCGGUGCUGCUUCUCGGCACGAAAUUAGGCUGCGGGGAGGAUCUGGUUGGGGUCGGUUCGACUUGAUUUGAGCUUGAAGUGCAUCGGGCCCUAGCUCUCGGGUUCGUUGUCGAGUCCCUUGGUUUUCAACUUAUCCGCAGGAUAAAGUACAUAUUUCAGUUUCGUGUGAAAUUUUGGAUUCACUCGAGUUCUGUUAUAGAGUUUUCCUGUGGUUGAAUCUAACCCAGUAAGACGACAACUUUUAUGCGCAACUACUGCAGCAACUCAAUUUCGGAUCCAUCUUCAACCUCCUCCCAUGCCACCCCCAAUUGAUCUCCUCUUUUCCCAACACUGACCAAACAAAAGGAUCCAUAUAGACACUAGAUGAAAUUUAGUGGGCUAAUGACAAUAGUUGAAAUUUGAAAUUCUGCUUGCUAAAGAACUAAAAGCUCAGGUAUAUGUAUGCAUUUAGACGUAAAACAUAGAAACAAAAGCUAUGUUUGUUGCCACAUUGUCAAGCCCAGCUACAAGUUUAUGACUAAAUAGGAAUCUUCGAUCAUCAUGAAAUCCAAUAAGUGCACUAAGACUCAGAAACGAUGGGGCAAAAAAAAGAAAAAAAAAAAAAUCUAACCUUUCACCUUGAAAAUUUCAAAGCAAAAACCAUACUUUGAAGCAGAUGACAUCAAUCAGAAAGUUUUCACAGAUCAAAACUACCAUCAUAUGCCAUAAGAUGGUGAUGAAUAAUGAUCAAAGAAUUGUCAUCAUCUCACCCCUAUCUUCGUACACAAACAUCAUGCAAAGGACUGAAAUGCCAUGUGAAAAAUGCCAAUGAGAACAACCAUAGAACCUUCACCCCUUGCCAUCAAAUUAAGUCUCAAAUAAUCCAUCCUCCUACAAAAGACCCAAAACAAUUGCCUUAGUGCAUCCUAUGGUCACGGAGGAGUAAACCAGGAAGGUGAAAACCACAAUGUUUACAACACUGCUCAAACAUUUGGGGAACAUAACACUGCUCAAGGCCCACAAUCACAAUGAAAGAAGAAUUCCAUACAUAGUAUGAUAGUUCAAGCUACGUUAUUAAAAGCAGACAUAGAUUUCUGCAAGUUUCAUCAGAGACUUGCGAGAACAAAUUCAGUAUGAAAGCAGACAACACAUGAAAAACAUAACAAGGAAACCCCCAUCUUUAUUUAGUAGCUAGGGUUGUGGGGGUAUCAAACCACACCAACAGUGGAGACGGAUCAUUCAUCAUCAUAGUUGUGGUGGCGGCGGUGGUGAUGCUUCUGAUGGCGGCUCUUCUUUUCCUCAUCCAAAUCAUCACCCUGCCAGUAGCCCCAAACAAAAAUUAUUUGUCAGUCGUCUAUAACUCAGUUGGAAACAAAAACUGUUUAUUCCUACUGAUCUGGGAACGACAAAUAUACAGUCGAAAAGCAAAGAGAUGCUUGUCAAAGAGGGAAAAUGCAACAUAAGAGUAUUAACUAGUUAGUAUUUGCAUACAGAUUUAAACAAAAGGAUUCCUCAAGUAUGAUUCAUGGUCCUUUCUCAACUCCUACUCCUACUAGCGAGGGAGGAAAAUGCAAUAACCUCUUAGUUAUUGCUGACUCGCACCUCCUUACUAUUUCACUUGAAAGCCGAUACAGAGCCUUGUUAUGUCUCCUCUACAUUCCCUCACCUAAUUAUUACAUACAGCCCUAAAAACUUCAAAACGUUUAAGGCACAUUUCUCAGACAUUGGUCAUUUUCUCCCAUCAGAUGUUGAUCAUGUAAAAGCCAUAGAGGGCCACCUCCCAGCUAACAUCUCUGUAAGAACAUAUGCUCCGAAUCCUUUAAUACAUAUAGGCAGAUGAUUCUUCAUUCUUUUACAGCUCAUCUAAGAAAAAUAACAUAAUUCAGCGAUCAAGUAAGUCAUCUAUAUCUUUAGGUCACAUGCCACUGGAAGAAAGCUACUACAUUACUAUUGAAGUCCCAUUGCCCUUAGCAUUAUCUCGGCCUUAACCGAACAUUCACAUAUUAUAAGAAACAUAACUACAGCGGUCUAAACAUGUCACAAAUUCAAGCAAGUUCAUCAAUGGAAAUAAAUGAUACGAAAUUAAGUGUUUGCAGCCUGAAGAAAGUUAGAGAAGAAUGUAUAGAACUCACAUAUUUCGGGCGGCUAUACCCUUCCUCUUGCUCCUGGCUAUAGUAACUCGGCUUCUGGUACUUACCACUCUCCUCCACAUGCCCUGCAUAAGAGGGCUUCUCAUAGCUAGGUUUCGCCGAAUACCCAAACCCUUCACUAGCCCCAUAGCCACUACCACCAUAAGUUUCCACCUCACUCUUCUGAUACCCAUAAUCUCCACCACUCUGAGGCCUCUCAUAGCUAGGUUUCGCUCCAUACCCAUACCCUUCACUACUUCCAUAUCCACUACCACCAUAAGUGUGCUCACUCUUCUGGUACCCAUACUCCCCACCGCUCUGGGGCUUCUCAUAGCUAGGUUUCGCCCCAUAUCCAUAGCUACCACCACCAUAAGUUUGCUCCUCACUCUUCUGGUACCCGUACUCCCCACCGCUCUGAUACUUGCUCCCGUCAUAACCGCCGUAGGGUUUCGGCUUCUCCUGCCCAUACCCAUACCCAUACGACGAUUCGUCCUCUCUCUUAGGUUUCCCAUACCCAGAUCCAUGCCCGUACCCCGCCUCCUCGCUCGGCCUACCACCGUAGCCAUACUCGGGCUUCGGCUGGGGACGACCGCCACCGCCGUAGCCGUAAUCGCCGCCUCCUCCUUCCUCCUCCUGCUGGGGGCGGAAUCCGUAGGCGGGUUGGGGCUUGGGGCGGGGGCGGCCGUAGCGGUCGUCCUCGUCGCCGCCGCCGUAGGCGGAGGGGACGGAGCCGGAGGAGUAGUGGGGCCUCUCGUAGUCGACGGAGGAGGAGGAGGACGUCGAGAGAGGGUAGCAGGAUUCGUCGGAGGGGGGGAGGGGGCGGCCGUAGGUGAGGGCGAGGUCGUAGCCGCCGCCGUAGGGGGUGGGGUCGUACUCGUCGAAGUCGUCGACGUCGUCGACAUCGCGGUCGCGGGCGCCUCCUCCGCUCCAAAAGGACGCCAUUGUUGGACCACUCGAGCUCUCUUUCUCGGGGAAGAAGAAGAAGGCGGAGAUCUCAGAUCUACGAUAGAAGAGGAAGAAGAAGAUGAAGAAGAGAAAGGGUCGCGAAAAUCGCCGACAUAUAUGGCGAUCGCACUAAGCACGGAUCUGAUGCUUCGUGUAUCACGUGAGUCGCACGUGUUGUGAAUUCCCAGCCCUAUGUAAAUUCGGCGCCGAUAUGGCCGUAAACUCGGCACUGGGAGAUGUUACAGCACCCCGAUGCCUUAAAAUCGGCAACUCGCUGUGUUUCGCCACCGACUUUCGAUGAUUGCCAUUGUCAAGGAACUUCGGCAAUUGGUCUCAGCAGCGUUUCACCAUGGCUUUAUCCCGGCAAAGCUAGUUUACUAGAAAAUUGUGUUUGGACUUUGGUCAAGUCUUAUACUUCAGUACUGUACUGUUUUUUAUCAACUUUUCAGCAGAGAAAAAAUUAUAAUUCAUCAAAUAUUAAAUUGAAGUGUAAAAUAUGAUGGAAGUGGAUAGACGUGCAAUGUAAGUAGCUUAAUUUUUGAAGCCUCCAUCUCCUCGCUUCUCUGUUAGUUCUCUGCAAGUUUUUCGCCCAUCCAAUGUAGUCCUCUUUGCGUUGAAGGAUGAAAUAAGACCCAAUUUGGGCUUUUAGUAGGUUCAUCUUUGACAACCUCGCACCGUCCAAAAUGUUAUGACUAUGAGGGCAUUGCAUAAAAAUUAUUAUAUUUUUUUUCUAACAUCCGAACAAAUUAUUGUACAAUUUCAUUUGUCCUUGCACACAGUGGUGCAGUGUUCGACCAUAGAUUUGCUAAAUCCUUUUCUUAAAGAAAAAAAAAAAAAAGCUUCUCAAUCCAUUUUCUUUGUUGCCAUGAAUCGAUUUAGUUACACAGUCAAAACAGAAUUUGUGACCGUGACCCGAUAAGGGGCCGACCCCAAGCAGAUAAGGCCCAAGCCCAGUCCAAGCCUGGCCCAUUUGGUUCCCCAGAAAAUCCAACUACACUAGAAUAUGUCCUGUGACUCUGUGAGAUGACACAUUAACACAAGCCUUCAAUAAAACUACCGUUCCUGUGCCAUUUACCAAGCAAAUUAAUAUGGAUUCUUUCUUAUUCGUCUAUGCAAUCCUAUAUUUUUUCCGUGAAUACAGCGCCAGGUAAUUUAUAAGCAAUUGCUUUCCUUAUAAGCAAUUGCCCCUUACAAUAAAGUUGCUUGCAUUAUACAGAUCAGCACCUCGUCGGUGUUAGAUCGUUGGCGCUAAUUAUUAAUCUCCAAAACUCGAGUUGCUAAAAAUACGCAACCAAUUCACUUGAAGUGUAUAGAUAUACUAGGUCUCGAUUGUGACUCGACUCAACUAGUCUCACGCCACUUCGAAUAUAAUCUGGUCCAAUCCAGCAUCAUGCUAUUUCGAACAUAACUAAGCCCAAUCUAAUAUUUUCCCACAGAAUAGGAUGCUGGACCCUUUAAGCCAACAAUCGAAGCAUAAAUUAACAGUCCAAUCAUAUAACGAUAUAUUAAACUAGUAGUACGAUUUCACUGGUACUUUAAUAAUUUCAAAUUAAAAAGAUAACAAAGAAUAACAUAGAUAGUGCAAAAUAUUCAAUUGGCCCGAAAGAAAUUAUUGCACUAGCUAAUAUGUAACCCAAUGAGACGAAUGAAUGCUUUAUUUUUUUUUCACAAAUUAUCCAUACCUAAUAACCAUUUCAGUUAGUACCAAGUAAGGCUAAUUAAUGAAAACCAUUAUUCGGAUUUUUUUUUUUAGUGGGUACUACAUGGCCACAACAGAGUUAGGUAAUGUACAUACCAAUAACAAUUUUCACAUAAUCUAACGAAUCAAAUGAUUCCUAUAACAGAUUCAAACAUUCUUUCAUGGAUUCAAGGAAACCAAUGAGUAUGUACACAUGUAAUGGGGCCCAUCAAUUAACUAAGAUGGUCUCAUGAGACUAUAUAGUAUCUAGCAUAGUCUAGUGAUCAUAAGAUGAGGGAAAAGCUCUUCUAACUACCAAAAUGGCCCACAGUGGUUGCUUAGGAUUUGAGACAUGUUGUCGACAUGAGCCCCGAGUUUUCGGUGUUCUAGCAUUUUUCCGGUCCCUCUCGAUGGCUUCAGGGCAUCAGCUUCAAUGAUUUUGUCGACGAUGAGGACAACGCGAAACAUUUCCAAUGUGGGCUCCGAGCUAGUCGGUGUCGAUUAACCGGUUCGAGCUGGCCCGGAUUUUUCGGUUGGGCUCAGAUUUCAGCUUGCGUUUGGGCUCGGCCUUGGUGCUUGUUAAGACAAGGAAAGAUACAAGAAAAGGAGAAGGGGUUUUAGAAACAAAAGGGGGUAACGAACAACGAUUGUUACCGACUCAAGAUUCACUAGUUCAACCAGUUCGGUACUAACACUCAAGGACCGGUUCAUGGCCCGACUCAUUUGACAGAGCUGGUUCAACCGGUUUAAGCAAAUAUAAGAAAGCCAAAUUCACUAGUUCAACCAAUUCGGUACUAACACUCCAGGACCGGUUCAUGGUUCGACUCAUCUGACAGAGUUGGUUCAACCGGUUUAAGCAAAUACAAGAAAGCCAAAUUCACUGGUUCAACCAGUUCGGUACAAACACUCAAGGAUCGGUUCAUGGCCCAACUCGUCUGACAGAGCUGGUUCAACCGGUUUAAGAAAAUACAAGAAAGCCAAUAUCUCUCUCUCUCUCUCUCUCUCUCUAUAUAUAUAUAUGUAUAUAUAUAUAUAUAUAACCAAAGAAGCUGUUUGAAAAAUGUAAACCAAACCUUCAUAUUAUAAUCUUUGGUUUUUCUAAUUUUUAUUAAUGUAGAAUCUUUCGUUGAGUAGGGUCGAAGAUGAAAAAUAACCAAGCAAUUAUGGUGAUGAAAUUGUUCAAUGUCUUAGCCAAUUUUCUGUCAAAGUGGACUCUACAUCAUCAUUCCAAGAUUUAAGUCUUCGAAGAAUCUACCUACUAUAUUUUGGUCGGCUGCCUAAUCUGCAUAAUUUUUUGCAGAUUUCUACAAAACAUAUAUAUAUAAUAUAAAAUAUAUGGCUAAAAUAUAGAAUUUUUUUUUAUAAAUAUUAACUUUUUCACUUUCUCUUUCCGACUUUCAAAAAUCUAUAUUUUUCCUCCUUAAAAUUUCAAAAAUAUCUGCAGGGGGUAAGACGUUAAUGGAAAGGGUAAAAUAACCAAAAUAUCUUUAUUUUUUUUUAUAAAAAAAUUUUUAAUAUAUUUUUGUCAUUUUGAAGGGUAUUUUUUUUAUAAUUAUAAAAAAUUAAAGGAAAAAUAAUGGAACUGACGGAGGAGGGCUAAAUUCAAGAAUUUGAAAUAUUGAUGUAGUAAAAUAUAAAUUUUCGAAAGUUAGGAAGGAAAAGUUUUUUUUUUUUUGAGAGAUAGAUAGCACGCUACCCGCUUUGUUUAUUUCAUUUAGAAAUAAACUUAGCUGAAAAUGUGAAUCAACUAGGAUUCGAACUUAGGUCUCGCGUACCAACCACCAAGCCCUUUGUCACUUACCAAAAAUAUCUAUAUAUAUAGUUGAACUAGAAUACUAUCAAUAGCAAACGGGCUCCGUUGCCACCCAUUUGUUUUCGGUGAUGGAGCCUCCAAAUCGAUGAUCGGCACAGUUGAACAUGAUCUAUACCACUUGAAGUAUUUAGAAAUCAAAUUUCAAAUUUUUUCGACAUCAUUUGCCUAAUGAUCAAAGGGUUUCAAAAUUUGUAAUUUUAAUAGUCGAUAUGAGGUGUUUUCUCGUUUAACGGCGUAAAAAUAUCCAAAUCAAUUGAAUUUUUGUUAGAAAAUUCUUUAAACUAUUUAAAACAAGGUUUAUACUCUUGAUCUUGAUUACAAGACUCCUAUCAUCAUUUUUAAAGAAUAUUCAUUUUCAGCCGUUCAUUUUUGUGUCCACUUGAUGGAUAAGAGAACAAUAUCGAAAAUGUAUGAAAUUUGAUUUUUAAACACUUCAAGUAGUAUAGAUUAUGUUCAAUUAUACCGAUCGUCGAUUUAGAGCCUCCAUCAUCAAAAACAAAUGGGUGACAGCGAAACUCGUUUGCUAUCGAUAGUAUUCUAGCUCAACUAUCUCUCUCAUUCUAUAUAUAUAUAGAGAGAGAGAGAGAGAAAGAGUAGGGCUAUUCUGCUAUUAGGAGUAUAGCAGUCCUUGUGGUCCUAACUUUCUAACUACCCAUCAUGUUCGAUGGGUGGUUAGAAUGAAAGAGGGAGGAAAUAUUGCAGAGAAAUUGGGUGUUUCAAUUUUUCUUCUUCUUGAAUUUCUCUUCAAUAUCUCUUACCUCUCUUAUUCUAACCACCCAUCAAACUUGAUGGGUGAUUAAAAAGUUAGGAGCAUAACGGCUGCUGUGCUUCUAAUAGCACAGUAAUCCGGUUUUAUAUAUAUAUAUAUGUAGAGUCUGGCUACUAUACUCUUAUGAGUACGAUCGCAUUAAUACUCAUAAGUUGUUUUCGAUAAUAGAGUUUCCGAAUCAACAAUUCAGGCCGUUAAACAUUAUCUAGAGUAUUUAAAAUAUAUAUAUAUAUAUAUAUAUAGAGAGAGAGAGAGAGAGAGAGAGAGAGAGAGAGAGAGAGAGUCCGGCUAUGGUGCUUGUAAAAGCACCAAGCACUUGGUGCUUGUGAAUUUUUUACCGUUAGAAUUAAUCUUUUAAUCAUUUUCACCGUUAGAUUAUACUAUCCAAGCCAACUGACCACUUAACCUAGGGAGCUACAAUCAUCCUAACGCACAUCCUUAAUCCAAGGGCCAAAAACUUUACAAGCACCUAUGACUUGGUACUGUUAAAAGUAUAGAGCUCAAUUCAUAUAUAUAUAUAAUAUAUAGAUAUAUAUAUAUAAUUAUAUAUAUUAUAUAUAUAUAUAUAUAUAUAUAUACUGGAAUGCUAUCAAUAGCACGAAGCACUUGGUGCUAUCAAGUUUUCGCCCUUGAAUGAAGAAAUGUACGGUUAGGAUAAUGUGACCUCCUAGGGUUGAGUAAGUUGUUGGUUGAAUAGUAUAAUCUAAUGGUGAAAAUAGUCAAAAGUAAAUCUAACGGUAGAAACUUGGUAGGCAUCAAGUGCUGAUUGCUAUCGAUAGUAUCCAGUCAGACUAUAUAUAUAUAUAUAUAUAUAGAUGGGGCUGGUAUGCUUUCGUAAGCACGGAGGCCUCCGUCUUCCACUUUGUUUACGAUGUUCGACUUUCCGAAUCGACGGAUCAGCUCGCGUUAGAGUUGAUCUUAGAGUAUUAAGUACCAAGAAAUUAAUUUUGCGAUUUUCGAUAUAGGUUGCCUCGUGAUCGAAGGGGCUCAAAAUCAAUAAUUUUAACGGCCGUGGUGAGCCGUUGCAAGUUUAACGGUGUAGAAAUAUCCAAAUCACGUGAAACUUUGAUAGAAAAUUCUUUAUACCAUUAAAACAAGAUCAAUAACUUUGAUCUAAAAUUUUAAUGUCAUAUCAUCAUAUUUUGUGAGAUUUUUUAUUUUCACCGUUGUUUUGAGCCACUUCGACUCACAGGCAAAUGAUAUCAAAAAAUCGCAAAUUAUUUUCUAGAUACUUCAAAUACUCUAGAUCAAGUCUAACGGAGCCGAUCGUCGAUUUGAAAGUCCAACAUCGAAAACAAAGUGGAAGCACGAAGCGCAUCCGUGCUUCCGAACACACCAGAACACUUAUAUAUAUAUAUUAUAUAUAUAUAUAUAUAUAUAUAUAUAUAUAUAUAUAUAUAUUAUAUAUAUAUAUAUAUAUAUAAUAUAUAUAUAUAUAUAAUAAUAUAUUAGGGCUACUGUGCUAUUAGGAGCACAGCAGCCUUUGUGGUUCUAAGUUCUAAACACGCCCAUCAAAUUUGAUGGUGGUUAGGUGAAUGGGAGAAGAGAAAUUGGAGAGAAAUUCAAGAGAAGAGAAAUUGAGAAACAAAUUUCUCUCUAAUUAACUCUUCUCCCUUUCACCUAACCCCCAUCAAUUUGAUGGACGAUUAAGAACUUAGGAGCACAAGGACUGUUGUGCUCCUAAUAGCACAAUAGCCCUACUCUCUCUCUCUCUCUCCUCUCUCUCUCUCCUCUCUCUCUCUCUCUCUCUCUCUCUCUCUAUAUAUAUAUAAUAUAUAUAUAUAUAUAUAUAUAUAUAUAUAUAUAUAUAUAUAUAUAAUGUACAGGCUGGUAUACAUCGUAGCACAGGGCUCGGGCUACAACUUGUUUUCGAUAGUGAUUGUGGUCAAAAUCGACGAUCGGCUCCAUUAAUUAGACUUGAUUACACUAUUAAAAGUUUUGGAAAUUAAUUUAUAAUUUUUUGACAUCAUUUGGUAGUGAUCAAAAAGGUUUUAAAAUUGACAAUUUUAAUGGUAGAGUGUGAUGUUUUGUAAUUUAACGGUGUAAAACAAUCCAAAUAUGAAAAGAUCUUUAUAGAAAAUUAUUUUCACUAUUUAGAGUAAGAUCAGUACCUCUGAUCUUAAAUUUAAGUCUUUUAUCAUCAUUUUUUAUGAGAUUUUUAUUUUCAGCCGUUAAUUUUUAGACUACUCGUUUGAUAGGUAAAUGAUGCCGAAAAAUUAUAAAAUUUAGUUUGCAAAUACUUUCAAUAGUGUAGAUCAAGUCUAGCGGAGCCGAUCGUCGAUUUGGAAGCCACAUCAUUGAAGAUAACUUGGUAGCACGGAGACCUCCGUGCUACCGAUAGUAUACCAGCCUAUCUCUAUAUAUAUAUAUAUAGAGUGAGGCUACUAUGCUUCUAGAAGUAUGGAGCCUUCCGUGCUUCCAUACCGUUUUCGAUGUUGCGACUUUCGAAUCGUCGAUCGGCUCCGUUAAACUUGAUCUAGAGUAUUUGAAGUAUUUAGAAAAUAAAUUUUAUGAUUGUUCGAUAUCAUUUGCCUAGUGAUCGAAGAGGCUCAAAAUCAAUAAUUUUAAUAGCCGUAGUGAGCUGCUUACAAGUUUAACGGUAUAGAAAUAUUCAAAUCACGUGAAAUUUUGAUAGAAAAUUCUUUAUACUAUAUAAAACAAGAUCAAUAAUUUUGAUUUAAAAUUUUAAUGUUAUAUUAUCACGUUUUGUAAGAUUUUUAUUUUCAGCCGUUGAUUUUGAACCCCUUCGUUCACUAGGCAAAUAAUAUCGAAAAAUCGCAAACUUAUUUUCUAGGUACUUCAAAUACUUUAGAUCAAGUUUAACGGAGCCGAUCGACGAUUCAAAAGUCGCAACAUCGAAAACAACCUGGAAGCACGGAAGGCUCCGUACUUCCAGAAGCAUAGUAGCCUCACUCUAUAUAUACACACACACUAGUUGAGCGUACGUGCAAACUGCAAAUGCACGUAAUAAUUAUUUUAAUUUAUUUUAAAUCAAUAAAAAUUUAUAAAUCAUAUUUAUUCAAAAAUUUAGAAUAAAAUAUUUUGUAAAUUUAUAUGUUAUAUUUUAUUAGAAAAUAUUUACAAUAUCAAAUUUAAAUUUUAAUAUAAAAUAGAUAGAUAGAUUUGAUAUCAAAAAUCAAAGAUUUAAUUUAAUUCAUGAUUUAAACUCAAAUUUAAAUUUUAAUGUAAAUAGAUGGAUAGAAGUGCUAUUUUUUAACAGAUUAAUUAUAAUCAUUCAUUUUUAUUUUAAAUAUUUUUAACUAAUUGAUCAUAAUCAUUCGUAAAAUUGAAUUUAUAGAUGGGUAUAAAUAUGUUUUUUUACAAAUUGGUAAUAACCGUUCGUUCUUAUUUGAGAUAAUUUUUUACAAAGUGAUUAUAAAUUUGUUCAUCAUAUUAAUUCAAAAAUAUGAUUUACAAAUUUAUCAACCAAUCUAUCUUUUAAAUUAUUUCCGUUGUAAUAUGUUGAUAGUCCCAAAAUUUAAAAUUUUAAAUUAAUUUUAAAUUUUGAAUUGAAAUAUAGAUUUAUAGUAGAUAUUCUCACAAAAAUUUGGAUAAGCAUGAAUUUUUUUCUAUUUUCAAGAUAAAAAAAAUAAACAAAUUUCGAAUUAAAAUAUAGAUUCACGGUAAAUAUCUUUCGGUUGGCAAAAUUUUGGAUAAGUAUAUUUUUUUUUCUAUUUUAGAGAUAAAGAGAAAUUAAAAGUUUGUUUCAUUACGUUAUUUAUUUUACGUAAGGAAAGAGAAAUCAAUUUUUUUUUCCGUUAAAAAAUAGUUCUGUCGACAAACAGAAAUUUGAAAUAUAUAUAUAGAGUCCAGCUAUGCUGCUUGUAAAAGUACCAAGCAUUUGGUGCUUGUAAGUUUUUUACCGUUAGAUCUACUCCUCGAAUCAUUUUCAACCAUUAGAUUAUAUUAUUCAACCAACCAUCCAUUCAAUCCUAGGGGGCCCACAUCAUCCUAACCGCAUAUCUUUUAAUCCAAUGGCUAAAAAUCUAUAAGCACCAAUAACUUAGUACUUUUAAAAGCAUAGGAGCUCAAUUAUAGUUUAUUAUAUAUAUAUAUAUUAUAUAUAUAUAUUAUAUUAUAUUAUAUCUAUAAUAUUUAUAUACAGUUAUAUAUAUAUGUUUAGUUUAUGUUAUACUAUUCAAUAGUCUCUGUCUAUUGAUUUUCGAGUUGGUGAUAAGGAGAUGUGCGGUAGGUGAUAGUGUCCCCAAGGUUGAGUGGGUGGUUGAUUUAAUAGUAUAACUACGGGGGUGGAAAUGUCAAAUGAUAUAUCUAAGGUAAGAAAAUCAAUAAGUAACAAAGGUUGUCUAUCGAAGUUAUAGUAGCGCGACUUUAUAUAUCAUAUAUAUAUUAUAUAGACGUCCGGUAUCCGGUAGCUUGUAAAAGUAUCAAGCACUUUGAUGCUUAGUAAAUUUUUUACGCUGUCAAUCUUGCCUUUGAUCAUUUUUACCCGUUAGAUUAUACUAUUUCAACCAACAACCACUUCAACAAUGCUAGGGCCACAUCAUCCUAACUGCACAUUUUAAUCCAAGGCGUGAAAACUCGUCACAGACACAUGACUGCAUUUUAAAAGCAUGAGCUGCAAUUAUAUUCAUUAUAUAUAUAUAUUAUAUAUAUAUAUAUUACUUAUAUAAUAUUAUAUAUAUAUUAUAUAAUGCGACUGCUGUGUUCAAGGCACGGAGAGUCUUGCGUGCUCCUGAGCCGUUUUCGAUGAUAGAAUUUUCAAAUCGACGAUCGGCUCCGUUAGACUUGAUCUAGCGUUUUGAGUUCUAGAAAUAUUUUUGCGAUUUUUCGAUAUCAUUUACCUAGGAAUCGAAAGGAUUAAAAUAAUAAUUUUUAACGUGUGAAUAAAUAUUUAUAAAAGUGAUGAAUAUAGCACUAAAUUUUUGAUCAGAAAUAUUGAUUUAUUAUAUGAUAGUAUAAAAAUUUUGUACAAAUUUUAUCUGAUUUGAAUACUUUCUACAACAUUAAAUUUGAAAACCGGCAGAUAUCAACCAUUAAAAUUAUUGAUUUGAUCAUUUCGAUCAUGAGGUAAAUGAUAUCAAAAAAUCGCAAAAAUUAUUUUCUAAAAACUUUAAUACGCUAGAUCAAUCUAAGGAGGGCCGAUCGUCAAUUCAGAAAUUCCAUUAUCGAAAUGGCUCAGGAGCACGGAGGCUCCGUGGAGGCACGAGCACCCUCUAUAUAUAUAUAUAUAUAUAUAUUAUAUAUAUAUAUAUAUUUUAUAUAAAUUGAGAACAUUAACCAAAGGGCCACGUAAUGUAUGGAAGUGGUAACAAGAAGCAACAGUUAAAUAUAUUACUAUUUAUGAGUAAGGUCGUUGUGUGUAUUAGGAGCAGGUGUUAGGAUUUCCAUAUAUUAUUUGACCAAUCUAAUCAUAUUUAAUUUUAGGAUUUGAGUAGUGAUAAAGUCAAUCUAACAGAUUUAGAACUACUUGAUAUGGUAUAUUUUAUCCCUAUCCCAUCUACUUUAAAUUUAAAUAGAAUCCUAAUCAGACUUUGAUGGGAAGUCGAUUUGGGCUCUAUAUAAAGGGGUAUUGGUCCUGCCACCUUUUCAUAAACAUUCUGGUGAAGAAUUACCAUCGGUUCCACACCAUACAGCAGAGUGCCUAAGAUAGGAGGAGAAACCAAAUCACCCAAGUUCGGUUCGUGACUUUCAGAUCAUAGCCGGACUUCACACUUCCGCAAGAUUGAUCAAGAAUUUAUUCUCUAUGGUGCUCUGUGAGUUAUCUUAUAAUUUUGUUUUGAUCAUGAAUUUUGGUAUGUAUUUAUUUUCGGUUUUGUUUUACAUACCUAUAAAGUCUAUCACACGGAGCCCUCCUUGUCCUAAGCCAUUUUUGAUGAUGGAGUUUUCGAAUCGACGAUUGGCUUCGUCAGACUUAAUCUAGCAUAUUUGAAAUAUCUAGAAAAUAAAUUUUGCGAUUUUUCGAUAUCAUUUACCUAGCAAGCAAAAGGGUUCAAAAUCAAUAAUUUUUCAUGAUUGAUGUAUACCAUUUGCAAGUUUAACGGUGUAGAAGUAUUCAAACCAGAUAAAAUUUUGAUAGAAAAUUUUUUAUACUAUUUAUAGCAAGAUCAAUAUCUCUGAUCGAAAAUUUUAUUGCUAUAUCACCACUUUUUUUGAGAUUUUUAUUUUCAGCCAUUAAUUUUGAAUCCUUUCUAUCGCUAGGUAAAUGGUAUCGAAAAAUCGCAAAAUUUAUUUUCUACAUACUUCAAAUACGCUAGAUCAAUUCUAACGGAGCCGAUCGUUGAUUCGGAAGCUCCAUGAUCGAAAACGGCUUAAGAGCACGGACACGCAAGACCUGCUCCUACUUUAGAUCAAACAAUUAUAAAUGGGUAUGCCACCAAGCUGUAGCUGAAUUUGUAAGCUAUUCAAUGAGGCACAUUACUUUUACUAGAUUCAUUUUAUCUAAUCAAAUUCAGUAAGUAUAGCGGUCAAAAUUUAAUAAAAUUAUCUAUCAAUAUCAUAGUCAGCUCCGUAAAUAGUAGAUUCUAUUAAAAAAAUAAUAAGAAAAGAAGUAGAAUAAACUUGAUCAUUAUUGAUAUGUGAUUGCGGAGAUAAGAAACUAAUAAUCAAUAAUUUUCUUUUAGUCGAAGAAUUUGGUACUGAGACAAGGAUUCCACUCUUUAAAUGGUGCUUUGUUUAAUUCUAUAUCCAAAAAUAUAUGCUAUCCAAGCAAAUUUAAAUUGCACACUUUGCUACUGCUAUGCUAUAUAAAAUUCAAUUAAGUUAGUUAAAAUAACAAACAAAGACAAAGCAAAUUAAUUGAUUAAUUAUUAAUUAAGAAUUUAAUUGUUUCAUGCAAAGUCCAUCAAAGUGGACUACCUAGUCAAGAUCCGGAUAUCUAGGUCUACAAAAAUCCCUUUUAUUAGUACUAAGAAUUGCACCCAAAAAAAAAUGAAUUAUGUUGGGGUAAUUAAUAAUACCAUGUGUGGGGGCCACCCACCACUGUUCCAUUCCCAGAAACAAUGCUUGGAUUUAUGCUUAUCCUGAGUAAAUACUCCUCCCUCAUUGAAGUGGAGAACCCUCAUUUUAUGGAUCAUAGCUUCGUUUAAAAGCUAUUUUAUUAAUUCUCCUGAUAGGGAAAAAGCAUCAUCUCAAAAAGAUCUCUUUCCUUAACAAAGCUAAGUAGGAACAUUUAGAAUCUAAUGAGUAUAAUUAUUCAUCUUAAAAGGCCUUAGAAGCAGCCUUUUCUUUUAGCCUUUUGCCUUUUUUUUUUUUUUGCCACCCUUUAACAGGUGGUGAUAAUUAAUUAAACUUUAGAAUUUUUGCAUAUAGACCCCUCCCAACAUAAGUAUAGACAGAGUACAAUCCUCACCAGCUCAUGUACCCUUUCACUAAACACUCCAUUAUAAACUACUAAAAUUAAAAUCACAACAAUAAGAAGGCAAUACGACCAUUCACGCCCCCUCUUUAAGUUUUACCUAAAAUACCUCCCAAUGCUUGUAAACAAGUAAGCUGUACACCACCAAUAGUAGCAUCUUUGCGAUUAUAUAUACAUAUACAUAGAAUUGAACUGAAAUACUGUUAAUAGUAUUUGGCUCUUUUGCUGUCGAGUUUUUAACUCUUAAAUGAAAAAUUAUAAGGUUAGAAUGAUAGUUGUGCCCUAGGGUUUAAUAGUGGUCCCCCUAGAAUUGAGUAAGGGAUUGGUUGAAUAGUUUGAUCUAAAAGGUGAAAUUAAUUAAAAUGUAAAUCUAAAUGCUAAAGGCAUUCUAACUCAAUUCCAUAUAUUAUAUAUAUAUAUAUAUAUAUAGAACUAGUUUAAUAUACUAUUAAUAACACCAAAGACAUAAAUUUAAUGGCGAAAACUUGAUAGCACUAGACACUUGAUGUUAUUGAUAGUAUAGUAACUGGACUAUAUAUAUAUAUAUAUAUAUAGAGAGAGAGAGAGAGAGAGAGAGAGAGAGAGUUGAGCUUGAAUACUCCCAUAAGCACCAAGGGAGUGGUGCUUUCGAGUUUUUAGCCAUUGGAUGGAGAGAUGUGGGGUUGAGAUGAUGGCGGUAGGUGGUGGUAGAUUGAAUAGUAUUUGAUCCAUCGACUAUUAGUAAUCAAGAAGUAAAUUCAAGGGCUAGAAAUCUAGAAGCACCAAGGGUUUGGUGCUUCUAAAGUAUUCUAGCUCAAUUAUAUAUAUAUAUAUAUAGAGAGAGAGAGAGAGAGAGAGAGAAGCUACUCAUAAGUUUUCAACCAUUGGAUGAUAGGAUGUGUGGUUAGGAUGAUAGUAGUUCCCAACUAAAAUGAUAAUGGUCUCCUAAGAUUGAGUGGGUGGUUGGUCGAAAAGUAUGAUCUAAUAUGUAAAAUAAUUAAAAGGGUAAAUCUAAUUAUCGAAAACUUAUGAAUAUAAAAAGUUCUAUAUUCCUAAAAAUAUAGUAGUUGAACUUUCUCUCUCUCUAUAUAUUUAUAUAUAUAUUUAUUGGCAUCAGAAAAAUAACACUAUGUGAGCAAAGAACGGCAAGGAGACAAAAGGUGACACGUGGUAUACCAGAAGUCGAGAAGAAUAACACUUAAAUAGAAGAGUGGUUUAGGCGAGAGCGGUUAGAGACGUGGUGAAAGAAUUCCAUGACCAGCAAAGGAUAAGCCGAAUCAUAACCCGAAAUAAUAGGAACGUGGUCGAAGAAACCUCCAUAAUAAGAUUCAUCCAAUAAUUGCAGGCGGGAGAAAAUAUUGCUAUAAAUAGAAAAAAAAAAUUGCUUGUGAGAAGGGUCCUUCACACAGCAAGAGAUCGUAACAAAUUUUAAUUUUUUUUUUUUCAGCAUUUAUGAUUUUCUAGGGAUAGUUCACUGAUUUUUUUCUCCUAUGUCUUUGUUUAAGAGCUUAAUUAAGAGCACAAUUAAGAGUUUAAUUAAGAGUUUUUAUAGGAGUAGAUUUAAUUCUUGCAACAGUUUUUGUAAUUUUGUUUUCUCGAUCAAUAUAAAUAACUCGAUUUAUUCAGCCGAGCUUAUUUUUUGAUCUAUUUGUGAAUAUUUGCGGAGAAACUCGGUUGAGCCAAUCCCUCCUCAACCGAGUCGCUUGAAUUGCUAAUGGCGCAUCCGAAGGUCAUUUUAGGAGUCAACUCACAUUCUGAAGAAGAACCUGACUUUGCCGGCACUUUAAUCCGAUCAGCGUCGCACCGUAUUCAAUUUCUAACCCAACAAUAUUAAAAUAUAACUUUGGUUUAAGAAAAUAACAUUUCAUGCAUGUAUCCGGGGGACAUCGAAGCAAAUAACCGAUUUUCCAAAGGCACAAUCGCAAACUCACACUUUGAAUAGUUCAUACCCCAAUAAAAAUGUUCAAAGGGGUAUAGAUGCACCCCAAAAAACAAAAAAGUUUAAACUUUUCCAGCUAAUGAAGGGCAUUUAUUUAAAAAAGUUUGAUCCACACCCAUGUGGGUCAAGUUUUUAAUUAAUUACGUGGGGGUAAGUUUUUUUCCCUUUAUUUUUUUCCUGCCCUUUUUGCGGUGUACGAGAUUUUAGCAGUUGAUGAUGGCGCGAGUGCACGCGGUGGGGAAAUCGAUUCCUCCCCUUUCUCCCUAUGCGAGACCCCGUUAAAUUAUUCCCCCUUGUGCUCCUCACCCUUCUUUUUUUUUUUCUUUUUUUUUUUUUUUUUUGUGGACAGUGAUGAUUAAAUUAUUUACUGGUUUAUGAUAAUUUUAAUUUUAAUUUUAAUUUUAAUUUUAAUUUCAUAGAUCUUAUAUUUUGAAUGAUAAUAAAAUUAUCCCAAUGUCGCUUGAGUUAGAAGAACAUGCGAAAAAUUAUCUAUUACCUUAAGUCAUGAACACAAUAGAUUUAGUUUAUGACAACAUAACAAAACAUUCUUACUAGUAGAGAUUCUCAAAUAGCAAAUUGUAGGAAAAUCCUGAAAUAUUACGAAUUGGAUAAUGACUUGGUUUUAAGUUUACAAUUUUGUUUAUUGUUUUCUUAUUCAGGCACGACGUUCGAAGCGCUUGAAAAACUGUGCGUAUCCCUAAUAAUUUAGUUUCCCCCUUUUUCGUUGGUAUUGUUAACAAACUAUAUUUUGAUUAAUUUAUACUAAUUUCUUAAAAGUGAGGGUUAGGCACUGACGCGUCCCCAUCUCCCGUCCGAGCCCAAACCCACCACUCCCACCCACCCACCCCGGGUUUUCAAUCAACGCUUUCCUUGUCCUCUUCCCCGGCCCCUCCUUUUUUGUUUUGUUUUUUUUUUUUUUUAAUUUGGUGAUCGGCAAAUUUUUUUUUUUUUUUUUUUUGGUAAAUACGAUCGUGUUUUAAUUUUGAAAUAAUUAUAAAACCAGAAAACGAAAGAAAGAGGCUCGGUUCAGACUCUAUACGAAUGUUAAUCUGAUCUGAUCUAAUACUAAUCUAAUGUAACGGACUGAAAAAAGCAAAAGCGCUAGCGCACGAGCUAAGAUACCGUCCACUAUUCGCUCUCUCUCUCUCUCUGUCUCUCUCUCUCUCUCUCUCCAUCCCCACAACGCAUUGAUAGAUCCUAUUCCUUUCUCCCACCAGAGUUCCGAGUGAUUCAAAAUCCCCGCACAAGCGUGCAGGGAUAAAAGAGGGAUGAGAGAUACCUAGCAACAAGGGAAAGUCCAAAUAAAGCUCGAGUUGUGGGUGUGUGAGGUGAGGAGAGAGAGAGAGAGAGAGAGAGAGAGAGAGCGCAUGCGUGGGAGAGUGGGAGGGAGGGGGGUAGGGGAAAGAAGCAGCUGCUCCUCGCGCGCGACUCUCGAAGCGCUCGCAUAAGCCGUUUUGCCGGUCGACUGCUUACCCUCCGCUACACAAAACAAAACCAAAACACAUGCUCCUCGAUCCCCUCAACCCCUCCUCCUCCUACUACUACUACUACUACUACUCGUCACUACUAACACUCAUAAUAAUAACUACCACUACUGCUGCUACUCCUUGUACCUCUACCACCACUGCUGCAUCUCCUCCUGCUGCUCUCUAUUUUUUCUCUCCUUCCUGUUAAUUAUUAUUAGCUCUUCUCAUUAUAAAGGAGCUAAUUAUUAUUAAUUAAGACUCUCUGCUUUGCUUUGCUUUGCUUGGCUGGGCCUUGGUUGGCUUGGCUUUGUGAAAGAAAUUAAUUAAGAAGAAGAAGAAGAAGGAAGGGAAUUGUAUAGGGAGGGAGGUAGAGAAGGAGGGGAUCAGAAGAGAUGAUUACGGUGUCGGAUUUUUACCACGUGAUGACGGCGGUGGUGCCGCUGUACGUGGCGAUGAUACUGGCGUACGGGUCGGUGAAGUGGUGGAAGAUAUUCUCGCCGGACCAGUGCUCGGGGAUAAACCGGUUCGUGGCGCUGUUCGCAGUGCCGCUGCUGUCGUUCCACUUCAUCUCGACGAACAACCCGUACACGAUGAACGUGAAGUUCAUCGCGGCGGACACGCUGCAGAAGCUGAUGGUGCUGGCGGCGCUGACGGCGUGGAGCCACCUGAGCCGGCGGGGGUGCCUGGAGUGGACCAUCACGCUCUUCUCCCUCUCCACCCUGCCCAACACGCUCGUCAUGGGCAUCCCGCUCCUCAAGGGCAUGUACGGGGACUUCUCCGGGAGCCUCAUGGUGCAGAUCGUCGUGCUGCAGUGCAUCAUCUGGUACACGCUCAUGCUCUUCAUGUUCGAGUUCCGCGGCGCGCGCCUGCUCAUCACCGAGCAGUUCCCGGACACCGCCGGAUCCAUCGCCUCCAUCGUCGUCGACUCCGACGUCGUCUCGCUCGACGGCCGCCGCGACGCCAUCGAGACCGAGGCCGCAGAUCAAGGAGACGGCAAAUUCAACGUCACAGUGCGCUCGCUCCAACGCUCGCGCUCCGACAUUACUCCCGCCGCUCCAUGGGCUUCUCCAGCAACCCCGGCACCCUCCAACCUGCAACGCGAACGCCGAGAUCCUUACUCGCUCCAGUCCUCGCGCUAACCCCACCGCCCGCGCGGUCUCCAGCUUCAACCACCGCUUCUACUCAUGGUCGGCCGCAGCUCCAAACUUCGGCGCCGCCAGACGCCUACCCGUGGCCGGGGCGGCGGGCGCCUCCACCCCGCGCUCAACUGAGGACGACGGCCCGCCGCCGGCGCAGCCAGUGUCGCGGACGCACGACACGUACUCGGCGCCCAACCCCAACGCGUGUUCCUCGCACCGCCGGAAGCGCGCCGAGCGCGCCGCGCGCCGGCAGCCGAGACGGGCUCGGCGCGCGGCGCGGGCGGCGCCGGUGGGGUGAAGAGGCGAACGGGCUGCGACGGAGGACCGGGGGACGAAGACCUCCCCUUUGUGUGGAGCUCCAGCGCCUCCCGCCGUCUCCCGACAUCUUGGAAACAAUCCCUAUUACGGCAUCGCCGUCGCCGCCGCCGCGAACGACCCCGCCGCAGUCAAAGAAGUCAGGCUCGCCGUCUCGCCCGGCAAAAGUAAUUCACGCACAUUAUUAUAUAAUAAAAUUAGAUUAAUUAAUUAAUAAUUAAUUAGAUGUGUGUGUGUGUGUGUGUCUCUCUCUCUCUCUCUCUCUCUGUAUUAUUAUUAUUGAUUUCUUUUUCUUUUUCGUUUUCUUUUUUUUAAUUUAAAAAAAAAACCAUUAUUAUUAUUUAUUUAUUUAUUUUUGUUGGCGAGAAAAUUGACAGUGGAUCGACGGAAGGAGGGGGAGGAGUACGUGGAGAGGGACGACUUCAGCUUCGGGAACAGGGGGAUGAUGGAGAGGGACGAGGGCGGCGGCGGGGACGAGAAGACGCACGACGCGACGGCGGGGAAGGGCGGGGGGCUGCACGGGGCGACGGCGAUGCCGCCGACGAGCGUCAUGACGCGGCUGAUCCUGAUCAUGGUCUGGCGCAAGCUCAUCCGCAACCCCAACACCUACUCCAGCCUCAUCGGCAUCAUCUGGGCCCUCGUCUCCUUCAGGUGAAAAGCAUUCAUUUGCAAUGGACCCUCACCACAUGCGCGGUCAAUAGUACUAAACAGUAACUCCCAAUAAAAUUAAAAUUACAAUUUUAAAUUAAAUUAAUUUAAUUUAAUGCUGCCCAAUAUUAGAUUGUACUGUACCGUUUCUUUUUCUUUUGUUUUCUCCCUCCUCCCUUUCUUUCUUUCUUUCUUUCUUUUAUUAUUAUUAUUUUUUUUUUUUUUACUGUUGUGUUGUGUUGUGUUGUGUUGUGUUGUGUUGUGUUUAACAGUGGUGGUUUGGCUAAUAAUGGUUGUUGGAAUUGCAGAUGGCAUGUUGAGAUGCCUGCCAUUGUCUCGGGCUCCAUCUCCAUACUGUCGGAUGCGGGCCUCGGAAUGGCUAUGUUCAGCCUCGGUCAGUACUUCCAUGUGCCUCUCCUCCUCCUGCUCCUCCUCAUACUCUCUUUCACUCUCUCUCUCUCACUGUUACUGACACUUCAAGUAGCAGUUAUCUACUCGUGGGGGACACUCCUCAUGUAAAUUGGAGCUCCUAUCAAAAUGUUUAAAAUAAAGUUUGAAAAUUACCUGCUGUUUUUAACAUUAAAGUUUUUCAAAAAAAAAAAAUUACAUUAGUCGAGAUUUUCUGUUUUCCAACUAAAAAGCUUAUUUUAACUUUUCACCGUCCGUAACAAAUGCUCUAAUAAUGAGACCAGUGUGGCUUUGCUUCGGCCUUUAUUUUUACUAUACAGUUCAUCUUUACUAAAAGCAUUCCACAAACAGCAAAGACGAGAGCCUUUACUCUACUGGAAAGGAGAAAAGAGAUUCUGUGGUCGCAAAAGUAAAAGCUAGGAUUUGUUAUAAACUUCCGAUUUUAAUAAAAAGGGAAACAUUUGGAAGAUUAGAAUGUUUCUUCAAAUAGAAAUAUCAGGCGGUUAGUAGUACGUUAUGUUCAGAAAAGCUGUUCUGAAAGCCGAGCUUUAUCUUUUUCUUUUUUUGGUUAAAGUUGGUCCAAUGUUCUGAGCGAGCAAUAUGCGUGCGUGUGCAGGGCUGUUCAUGGCGCUGCAGCCGCGGAUCAUAGCAUGCGGCAACCGCGUCGCGACAUUUGCCAUGGCCGUCCGGUUCCUCGCAGGCCCAGCCGUCAUGGCCGCCGCCUCCAUCGCCGUAGGCCUCCGCGGCAACCUCCUCCACGUCGCCGUCGUCCAGGUCUCACUCUCUCUGACACAAAGCGUCGAACACCAUACGUGCGCCGUCCCUGAGACGCCCCGACUAACCGCUUUCCUCUUUUUGGGUCUCUUUCUUAUUAUUAUUAUUAUUUCAAUUUUUUUUUUUUAAUUUAGGCCGCGCUCCCUCAAGGCAUUGUCCCCUUCGUCUUCGCCAAGGAGUACAACGUGCACCCCGACAUACUCAGCACUGCGUGAGUACUUUUAAAAAAGCUCGAACAUCUUUUGCAGUGUCUGGUAUCGUGUGUUUCCAUUGUAGAUUCCCUUUUGUGUGCGCGUGUGCGCAGCGCCUCUAAUGGGUCUCGUGAUGUGCUUGCAGGGUCAUUUUUGGGAUGUUGAUUGCGCUCCCCAUCACGUUGGUUUACUACAUUUUCCUUGGCCUGUAGUGUGUGCGUGUGUGUACAUCUCUUAAGUUUACUUUUUAACUCUUUUAUUAGAGCACAACAGAGGAGUCGUCGACCCACAGCAAGGCAAGGGGAGAGAGGAGGGGGAGGGGGAGGGAUUAAUUUAGGGUUUGGAAAAUGGAGUGGAUCGAGUAGCAAUUUCCCGCAGUUUGUGGAGAAUUAAGGAGGAAGAGAAUCGAUCCGGUUCGGACCUGAUCGCAGUUCAAUCGGAAGACGAUGUUGUAAAAUGAUGUGAUAUUUGAUCUUAGAGCUCUUGUUUCUUCCUUUUCCUCGAAUUCCGCUUUUCUCUUUNUUUUUUUUUUUUUUUUUUUUUUUUUUUUUUUUUGAGUCAUCAAAUGUUGCGCACGACAUGCAUCUUGUAGGAAAUUGCUCUGAAAUGUUUAUUAGUCUUAAUUAAUACUCUUUGCCCAUCAGAUGAGUAUUUACUCGUGCCGCAUAUUUAGAUUGAGAACGUAACGUUUUAUUAAAUAAAAGACAACAAAAAACGAAAAUGAAAAGAGACUACAUAAUAUAUAAAUAAUAAAAGUAAAGAAAGAAACAAAGAUAUCACUUUCUCAAGUCGUCCAUCUAUAUAGUCCUGCAGCGGAAAUGGAAAAAUCCAAGCCCAUCUCUAUUUUGAUAAUGACAGUGAGCUAAAUGUCGCAAUUUUGCUACGCCCCUUUCACCACUCCAUGGUGAUAAAAAGUAGAAAUUAAAAAAAUAUCUACAACCAGCAUAUGAUGUGAAUGAAACAUCAUUAGUAUCUACACGUCAUUAACUUAAUUAAGCUAACGGUCUGUUCGUUCGUUUGUUCGCAAGUGAUUUUCAGAUUGAAAAUUAUUUUUGAAGUUUAGAUAAAAUUUAUUUUUUGAUCACUGUUGAUUUAUCAAAAGUCAAUGGAUUUUAGAGUUACAGUUAUCUCAUUUUCUUCGAUAAUUGACUCUGUUACGAUACGAUAUUCUGGAAAGGCAUAGCUAUGGACAAAUUUAAUUCACGGUUUAAAUAGCCAAAAUAUAGAAAUUUAAAGUCGAUAGCAACUUUACUCCUUCCAUAAUGGGCGAAACAAACAUACCCUACAGGAAGGAUAUGUGUGGGAGAACCGCUACCUUUCAUUGGAGACCUUAUCUGAUUAGAUAUGUCGGGAUAGUGGUAUAAAGCGAAAGAGAAGGAUUUGAAAGAAAAAAUUAUAAAAAAAUAAUAAUAAUAAAAAGAAAAAAAAAAUGGAGAAAUUUUGAGAGUAUGUGGGUGGUGGAGAUAGAGAGUAAUUGGGUCACUUUGGUCCCCCUCCAUUUCGCCCCAAUGUUGGGUUUGAUGUGGACUCUUUUAGCAUAUUCCGCGACACAAUCACCAUUUGUGUCCCAAUCGUAUUAAGGAACUCGCUGGGCCUUUUGUUUUUUUGUUUUUUUUUCAAUUUUUUGAACUUCCCUUUUUAGCCUUGUUGUGGUUUAAUUAAUUAUAAUAAUAAUUAGUUAUUACCCGCUGUUUUAGUGCAAUUAUUAAACUAAUUAAACUAAUAUUUGACGAGAUUACGGGGAUUCGGGGCGUGAGUGGGCUCGCAAAAUUGGGACCAAUAAUCGAAUUUGUAAUGCUUGUUAGUGAUAGUUAGUCAUGUUGAGACGAUAUUCCUUCCUUAAAAAAACAAAUUUGAUUUGGUGGUUUUUAAGCCACGCUUUUGAGGACAAUUAUUAAACUAAUAUUUGACGAGAUUACGGGAAUUUGAGCGUAAGUGGGCUUACAUAGUGGGGGCCUCUAUAUUUAGUUUGUUAAUUAAGGCUAGUAGUGGUAGUAGCAAUUUCGACAUCCUCCUUUUCUUUUUUUUUUUUCUCCUAUGAAAUCUUUAUAUAUAUAUAAUUAGAUUACUAUACUAUUAAUAGCAUCAAGUUAUUAAUGCUAUUAGAUUUUCGAUCCUUAAAUGAAAGAAUGUACGGUUUGGUAGAUAGUGGUCCCUAAAAUUGAGUCGGUACUUGGUUGAAUAAUAUAAUCUAACGGAUAAAAAUGAUCAAAAAGAUAAAUCUAACGGUGAAAAAUUUGGUAGCACAAGUGCUUAGUGCUCUUGAUAGCAUAGUAACCGGACUCUCUCUAUAUAUUAUAUAUGUAAUUUACACUCUCAUCAAAUCUCUUUCUAGCAUCUGCAUCAUAAUAUAAAAGAAGAAUGAAUACUAUAUAUAUAUAUAUAUGUACAUACAUAUAUCCACGAUAGAUCGUAAGCACCAAUCAACUAUUCCAAAAACACGUACCGAUAAGAAGGAUGCACCUCUCGCACUUAAGGGUUCAAUCACAGUGCUCAGGAAUUUCGACCUGAAUUAAUCCAUCUGAACAUUAGGUCUCUUACCGUUAGAUCUUUUGUGAAUCAUAAUUAACCCCACUCAACUUAUUAGAUUCAUCCAACUUGACUUAUUAACCUCAUAAACCUUUUUAUUACGGGACAGAAAGUUUAAUCUAUUUUAGUUCAAUAAUAAAUAGCCAGCAUACACCUCAUAAUGAUGCGUGCACAACUACUCCGAUGAAAUUCAAAACUACUUAUCUUCCUUUUCUAACUUUUACCAACAACAAAUUAAAAGCUAAAAAAUCCAAAAAAAGUUAAAGAAUAGACAAGCUAGGCCAAAGUCAUAAAACAAUCUUUGGACACAGGGUCAGAGUAAUACUUUGGUGAGCUUUAUACACUAUCCCAUAAUUAUAUCGCACAAAUAAAUCCCUCUAUAUAUAUAUAUAUAUAUAUAUAUAUAUAUAUAUAUAUAGCAUGUGUAUAUUAAUUAAUACAUCAAUGCCUUUUUUUUUACGAAAAAAAGAAAAAGAAAUUUAAAAAUACAGGUAAGAGUACUCACCAUGCUGUUGUUGUUGGUGGCACGUGACCAUGCAGCGAUAACACACCAAAAGUUGUCAUAUAACAAUUGGAUCUAAUCAGAAUUGGCCAUGUCGCCACCCACUGUACGUACUCAUGGGUCUCUCUCUCUCUCUCUCUCUCUCUCUCUCUCUCUCUCUCUCUCUCUCUCAAUGUUUUGGCCACAUACAAGGUGUUUGUCGAGCUACGGAACAAAUAGAUACACUGCCAUUUUUUAUGCUACAUGUUUACAGCUACAUGGCAACUCCGAAUGUUACGUACAUUUUUAAUCACAAUCACGGGGAACCAUUAAUUUUACGAUUCUUUGGAAAUUGGAGCUCGCAAAUUUGCUGGUGCUCCACUCAUCAGAAACAGUGGAGAUACAACUGGGAAACUGGCCCAGUGUCUUUUCUUUUUUUAACUAUGGAAAUUACAUAUAUAUACUUUUUUCUAUAGCAUUUAUUGCAUGCAAAAAUAAUAAUAUGUGACCUUUACUGUAGAUGAACUGAAAUAUAACAAAUUCUACUGUUUAGUUCUAGGAGCAAUUUGGACGUGUACUUAAAGUCUUAAACAAAGAAAGAAAUAAUAAGAUGACGUGUCAAUUUAGCCAUCUUUCAUCCAGUUUAGGUGGAGGGAUAAGAUUGACUUUUUGUGGUCUAGCUUUUGAGCUGUAGCCAAACCUCGUGAUAAAUUGUAUUAAUUAAUAAUAUUUAUGAAAAAAAUCAUGCGGUGGUGAUCAGGCAUUGGAAGGAGAUAGAGUGAAAGUACGGAUCGUUUUAAGAAGUCAAGCUAGUAAUUGAAAGUACGGAUCAAUUUAGAAAUUAAGUCAAACUCUAUUGAUUCUCGCACAAAAAAACGAAAAAGAAAACAUGUGUUAGUCAAAGAAAACAAUCUGGAAAGGCAAACCUCGAUCGAUCAACUCACGUACAUGAUGGAGGUCCGAUGAACACAUCACACGUCUUACCCGGAGAUGCGACAAAAUUGAUUGACGGAGGUUUUUAACUGAAUCGUAAUUAACAGGAAUCUGAACUCACAACCUUGUGAAACUGAUGACGCUAAUUAGGAAAGCAAUAGCUAUACCUCUUUUUCGAGGAGAAGCUUGAACGAACUUUAGAAUUUGCUACUUGAAGCUCUACUUUUAAAUUUCUACGUUGCUAUUAUAAUAUUUUAAUAAAUUAUUUUUCUCUUUCUGAAAGCUACGUUCAAUCUCAUUCUUGUGCACACAAAAGCUCCAGACAAGCCAAACAGACUGAUUCAUUUGGGUGUCGACCAAUGCGAGGGUGGAUUUCAGAGUACAGCUUACUUCCUAGCUGUUUCGAAGGAUAGCCACACAAUUAUGCAGUGUGUCCAUGUCUUCUUGCACCAAUGAGAGGUUCCAAUUAUUUUUCUCAUUAAAUAAAAAAAAAAUAAAGAGUUGCGUAUUUCUCUUUCAUCAUCAAUACUUUCUCACUGUGAUAGCACUGGUUCAUAAUAAGGUUGCAGCAAUGCAACCACAACGAUCGAAUUAAGUAGAUUCAUUGCAAUUUUCAAAUUUAAUCAAUAAGUAACGAUCAGAUUCAAUAAAUACCACGACUCUUAAUGUUUUAGAUAAUGCCAAAUCGAUCUCAACGUUGAAUCUACGCAAAUGUUUUUCUAAAAAAAAUUUUAGCAUUAUAAAGGCUAUAGUUUUUUUUUUUUUCAACCAUGAUUAAAAUCACAAAAAGAGUAUUUAACUUCGAUUAUAUUGUAGAUUAAAUAACAUAAAAGCAUGAUCCACUAGUCCCUGUACAAAAACUUGUACUCUUUGUAGAUCGUGCACCGAAUGGAUAAGCUUGUUCUCUUCAAAUCAAUGCUCUUGUGUUUCCAACCCGCAUCGAUUUGUCCGUUCCUUGGCAACUAAGCAUUUGGAAUCCAUUAUAUUAUUCUCCAAUAAAGAAAAAUAAUAUUGACAUGGUUAAAUUUGAUUAAAGCACAAUAAAUUUACUUAAUUAUAGUGACCAAAUUUGAAAAAAAAAUUACCUAUCAAUAUCAAAAUCGGUUUUGUUAAUAUUGAACUAGAGUAAUAGCUCCACAGUAAUAGCUCCACACGAAAGGGUUCAAAAUCAACAGCUGAAAAUAAAAAUCUCACAAAAAGUGGUGAUAUAGUACGUACUAAAAUUUUCGAUCAGAGAUAUUAAUCUUACUGUAGAUAAAAAAAAAAUUUAUUUGAUUUGGAUAUUUUUAUAUCGUAAACUUGAAAAUUCAUUAAAAAUUAUUGAUUUUUAACCAUUUUGAUCGUUAGUUAAAUAAUAUCAAAAAAUCAUAAAAUUUAUUUUCUAAAUAUAGCCUCUCACUCUCUCUCUCUCUCUCUCUCUCUCUCUCUCUCUCUCUCUCUAUAUAUAUAUAUAUAUAUAUAUAUAUAUAAAUUUCAUACUUUUUCGAUAUUAUUUUCUUGUCCAUCAAGUAGACAUAAAAAUGAAUGGCUAAAAAUGAAUAUCCUCUAAAACGUGAUGAUAGAAAUUUUGUAAUUAUGAUCAAAAGUAUAGAUCUUGUUCUAAAUAGUUUAAAAAAUUUUCUAACCAAAAUUCAAUUGAUUUGGAUAACUUUACACCAUUAAACGAGAAAACCCUUCAUAUCAACCAUUAAAAUUACUAAUUUUGAAACCCUUUGAUCCAUUAGCAAAUGAUGUCCGAAAAGAUUUGAAAUUUAAGUUUCUAAAACCUCUCAGUUCGAUUAGAUCUGUUCAAUGAUGCGAUCAUCGAUUGUAAAGCUGCCAUGAUUGAAAACAAAUGGUGGCAUACGACGCCGCGUUUGCUACCGUAGCAAUUCCAGCUCAACUCUAUAUACAUAUCAAUAACUACUAUAUAUAUAUAACCUCAUAUAAUAUAUAUAUAUAUAUAUAGUCUUAUAUAUAUAUAGAUAUAAGCUAAGGGUAACGACUAUCAUUCCAACCAUAGAAUUUUUGAUCGCAAAGCUAAAAAAUCAUAAGCACCAACUACUUUAUGCUUCCAGUACAUAGUAGCUCUACACAUAUAUAUACAUAUAGUCGGCUACUAUGCUAUCGUUAGUACGGAAUGCUCGUGCUACCAGUUGUUUUCGAUGAUGCGGCUUCCAAAUCGACGAUCAGCGCUUCGUUAGAGCUUGAUCUACACUUUUGAAAGUAUUGGAAACUAAAUUUCAAAAUUUUUUCGACACUCAUUUGACUAUGAUCAAAGAUCUCAAAUUUGACAAUUUUAAUGGCCGAUGUGUGUGUUUGUGAGUUUAAUGGUGUAAAACAUCCAAAUCGAUAAAAUUUUAUAGAAAAUUCUUUUCACUAUUUAGAGUAAGAUUAGUAUAUCUGAUCUUGAAUUUUAAAUUCUUUUAUCAUCAUUUUUUAUGAGUUUUUAUUUCAGCCGUUCAAAUUUUAGACUAACUUGUUUGAUAGGUAAAUAAUAUCGAAAAAUUAUGAAAUUCAGUUUCUAAAUACUUUUAAUAGUGUACAUCAAGUUUAAUAGAGCCGAUCGUCGAUUUGGAAGCCGCAUCAUCGAAAACAACUUGGUAGCACGGAGCCGCGAUAGUAGUAAGCCUAGUUCAUAUAUAUAUAUAUUAUAUAUAUAUAUAUAUUAUAUAUAUAUAUUUAAUUAAUUAUAUAUAUUAUAUGUAUUAUAUAUAUAUAUAUAUAUAUAAUAUAAUGAGUUGCUCCCUAUAACUAUCGAUACGUAGCCAAGCCCUUUGUACUUUUGAGCUUUUUACGCGUAGAUCUACCAUUUGAUCAGUUUCAUCCGUUAGCAUUAAUACUAUUAACCAAAACUACUCAACCCUAGGGGACCACUAUCAUCCUAACCGCACGUCCUUUCAUCUAAUAGCCGAAAACUCAAUAGUACCAAGGACUUGGUACUAUCGAUAGUAUAGUAGCAUAAUUCAUAUAUAUAUAUAUAUAUAUAUAUAGAGAGAGAGAGAGAGAGAGAGAGAGAGAGAGAGAGAGUAGGGCUACUAUACUCUUAUGAGUAUAGAACCCUUACUACUCAUAAGUUGUUUUCGAUGUUGGAGUUUUCGAAUCGACAAUCCACACCGUUAAACAUGAUCUAGAGUAUUUGAAACCUCUAGAAAAUAAUUUUCAUAAAUUUUCAAAAUCAUUAUAAAGUCCAUCAAGCGAGUAUAAAAUGAAUGGUUAAAAUCGAAUGACAUCCUAAAAAUGGAUGAUCAGAUCCUUCAAUUUAAGAUCGGAGUUAUUAAUGUUUAUUUAGGUAGUGAUCGAGUAGAAUUUUCUAUCAAAAAUUCAACCUAUUUCGAUUCUUUUUCACCGUUAAAAUAGCAAAUAUUUCAUACCGGCCGUUAAAAAUUGUCAAUUUUGUGACCUUUUGAUAGUAAGGUAAAUAAUAUCGAAAAAUUAUAAAAUUUAAUUUCUAGAAGUUUUAAAUGCUCUCGAUAACAUUUAACGGUAUAGAUCGUCGAUUUGGAAGCUCUAUUAUUGAAAAUAACUUAUGAGUACGAGGGCGAUCGUACUCAUAAGAGUAUAGUAGCCGGACUCUAUAUAUAUAUAUAUAUAUAUAUAUAUAUAUAUAUAUAUUAAAAGGAUUCCUUAUUAGCGGAGAAAAAAUAGUCCAAAAUUAGUUCUGCUAAUAACAUCAUCAAUGAAUAUCCAUAUUAGCUCCAUAUAUAGGACUCAUACACAGAUCCCAUAUUAAAAGACUAUAGCCUUUUGUUAGCCCUAAUUAAGCAAGUGGAAAGAGAAAUAUUCUCCUUACAGUGGAAAAAAAAGAAAUCCAUAUACAAUACGUAAGCGAAAAAUAUAUUGUUCGAAUCUAUAAAAGUUGAUAAAAUUAAAAGAUAUUAGAAGUUAAAGGGAGGAAACUUUUCUGCCUUUCCUUUUCUACGAAAAAAAAAAAAAAAAGUUAAGGAAAACAAAAGAGAAUGGCUCCAAGCUAGUGUGCCACUAAUCAUGUCAGAUGCUAUUUAUGUCAUUUCAAACCUAGACCACAUUUGUACAUCAGCAAUGCCAUUUUUUAGGCUCCUAUAAUCAGAUGUCUUAGGUAAAAGAUAUGUUAACGGAUUAAAAAUUGGAAGUUCUUAAUCUCAACCUUUUAUAUUAUUUACGCCAUUUGUAUUUGACAAUUGCAGAAUAAUUGAGAUAAAUUAGGAUUUUAAGUUUAUUCAAUUGGCUCCGAUACUCAAGUGUUCUAAAGGAGGACUCAGUUUAGGAUAAAUGAACUUUUAAUACCUAAUUUUAGAAACAAAGAACCAAAAGUAGUUUUAGAUAGGAUUAAGGCAUUGGAUAUAAUUUGGUAGUAAGUGGGUCCAUUGAUAGAUAGACCCAACUACCAAACCACAUCUUGACUCGAAACCAAAUCGGUGCCAUCCAAUGACAAGGCACAGGAUCAAUCCCAUAGCCCUACAUCCAACUCGACACAUCGAAUAUAACUUCCCAACCAAUCUAUGAGUUCGCAACACCAAACUCAGGGCCCAGAUGAUAAAGCUCCAGCAAAAGUAUUGUUUGAGUAAAAACUGUUCAAAACCGAAGAUCUAUCUCGCCUUAUUUUUAUGGCAAAACAGUAUCUGAGCAGUAGUGCUCAUAGUAAAAGUGUCGAAUUAAAACUUCGUCAAUAGCAUUUCUCUACAGAAAGAGCCAAUUCAUCUGCACUAGUCAUUCCUCCGUUGUUGAAGAUUCUGAAAUUCUGUUCUUGCCAGAGUAUUCCCCGCAGGCUACGAAGUAGAGGCCCGAUCAAAUUCUUAGAUCUAACUUUGAUCCAUCGCAGCCGUAAGUCCCCUGCUCGAUUGAGUAGGCAACUCUCGAGCCACAGGAAUGAUCUGUAAAAUGCGGUUCCACGCCAAAGUAGAAAAGUUGUAGUCCCGUAGCACAUGCUCGAUGCUUCUUCGUCGACACAAUAAAGUACACAUUGCGGAUGCCCGGGCCAACCUCCUUUGGCGAGGAUAGAUGUCGCCAUUAAGCAAUUUCUUUUUCGAGGCGAGCCACAUAAUUCUAUUUCUAUAUCAAAUUUUAUUUCAACUUUUUAUACCAAAACCUUCGAACUUAUCUAUUUGAGACACAUAUUAUCUUAUAAAAGGGACUAUAACUAGAAGUAGUAGUAACAGAAUACCGGCGAAAAAUGGAUUUAGAGUUUAUUUUGACAAGCUUCUGUUUUUCUAUUUGGAGCACCAGCAUCUAAUACAGAUUUGAGAAGAAAAGAGAUAUAGAGUGUCUGCUACUAUGGCAAUUAUUAAAUAAAACACAAAUUUUAAAAUAACUAUAAUGUAAUAUUUUUUAUUUGAUAAUAAUAAUAAUAAUAAUAAUAAUAUAGGCUACUUUAAUAGCCAUUCAAGUUGGUUGGUGUUAUUGUCUUUUUUCAAUUGAAGGAUGAGCAGGUUAAAUGAU
rnacentral:lncRNA from 1 species